ACAGGGGUGGUUAUUAUCUGUUAGUUAAAAUUUAGGAGUUCGAAUUUUACGGGGUAGUGAAAAAAACGUGCGGGAAAUAUGGGAAAAAUAUGAGCAUAAUUAUAGGAUUUGUAGGAGCGGUUACAUGAUUAGUUAAGAGAUAAAUAUUUUUUAAUUAUAAAAAUGUAAAAUUCUAUUAAAAUAGCAUUCAAACUUUUGACAAUUUUGGAAGCUCCCUAUCCAAAACCCGCUCAGCAAUACAUAUAGAUAUACUAAAUGAUAGUUAUGGUAGCGAAAUAGUUUUUACCUAAUAUAGGGAAAAUGACAUGUUUCAUCCCUCACAUUUCACAAAAAUAUUCUUUUCGUCCCUCACUUUUAAAAUGAAGCAAUUUCAUCCCUGACAUUUAAAAAUUAAAGCUAUUAAAUCCCUGAACCUAAUUUUCAAUUUGAAUCAAACCAUCCAAUAACCCAGUAAUAGAUUUCGGAGAUAGAAUUGAUAGGUCACUCGGUCAAUUUCAUCAUAUUCACAUGACAUUUAUCAAACCAAAAAAAUAAACAUUAUAACAUAAAGGCCAUUAUUUGUCUUGGAAUAGUCGGAUUUUUCUUUUGGGUAAAUCUUUUCAUGCAUCGUUAGUAUAUUCGCUUGCGAGUCUAGAUGUGUAUCAUAAAUACAAAAUUUGGUGUUUAAAUUUAAAUUGAAAUGAUAUGGUAAGUACAUAAAACCAUCAGUGUAUACAAUGACAAUGUAGGAAUUCAAGUUGAGUUAUAUUCAAGUUGAGUUAACCAAGUGAUCUACCAAUUAUACCUUCAAAAUUUGUAAUCGGGUUGAUAGGUGGUUUGAUUCAGAUUGAAAAUUGGAUUCAAGGAUGUAAUAGCUUUAAUUUUUAAAUGUCAGGGACGAAAUUGCUUCAUUUUAAAAGUAAGGGACGAAAAGAAUAUUUUUGUGAAAUGUGAGGGAUGAAAUAGGUCAUUUUCCCCCUAAUAUAACAUGUUGUUGCACUUUUAGCGAUCAUUUGAUUUAUUGUUGGACCUAUUCACCUAAAUAGAAUAACACCUAAAAUUAUGGAAGUUUCCUAUCUAAAAUAGUAAGUUAAGCCUAAUAGAUUAGUAACUUUUAUACCUCAAAAGGUAAAUUGGAAUAAAUAUUAAACUUAAUUUUUAAAUAAGUAGAUUACUACUUUAUAUCCCAAACUUACUUUUAAAAGAGUAAGUUUAGUUCAAAUAAUAGUAAGUUUUUAUACAUAAAUAGUAAUUCUUACUAAUAAAUAGAAAUGUAUAAAAGUAUUUAUCGAAAAAAAGUAUAAGAACGGAGUACCCAUUUUUCUUAAAUAAAUAUUUAUUUAUCUGACAACAUUAUAUUGAAAUGCAUUUUUCGAUAAUAAAACCAGUUCUAUAUGGCUUUCCCCCAUUAUAAGUAAAGAUUAAACCCAUUUUCCGUAGAGGCCCAUUCAUAUAUUCAAACGUGUGUUUCAAUUUAAAAGUUUCAACUCUUUAUGGCUUUCCUCUCUUACAACAACAUAAUACCCAAGGUGCCUUAAAGACACAAUGUUUUAUCAGAUAAAAUGAAAAUAAUCCCGUUGUUGAAUAAAAGACCAGCUCUUUAUGUCUUUUGGACCGUUACACGAACACAGUAGCAAGGUGCCUUAAAUAGAAAUGUAUUUAUCGAAAAAAAAGUUAGUUAAACCCGUUGUCUUAUAAACGACCAGCUCUUUAUGGCUUUCGUCCAUCAUACGGUCAGGAGUACCCAAUUUUCUUAAAUUGGGUACUUCAUUUAUCGGAAAGCAUACAAAAUAAACACAUCGGUGUGUAUUAAAAGAACCCUACUUUUCAAUGCUUUCGUCCGAUUUCGCGCUUCUUCCUUACUACUAUGCAUACUGUGUUUAGCUUAUCCGCCAAGCUUCGCUCCUUUUUUUCCUGCCCUUACUUCAGCGUACGACCCCCUCACUUUGGAAGUUGCCUAAUUUAGGCACUCCACAUUUUACAUUUGCAGUUGUAAUCCCCCAACACCCAACAGCCCUCCAGGUUGCAGGUAAAGAAGCCCUUUACAGGUGUCCAUCACUCACACUUCCCCUAUCAUUUGUGGUCACAAUCAUACCGCAGCAACUUUCCACACCUCUUCUCUGAUUCCUAAACAUACCGCAGCAACAUCCGAUACUAAAGGACCUAAGAUCAGCCAACCAAUCAAUUUGACAAAGACUUCAUGCACAAUUUCUUUGACAAGUGUGCAAUAAUCUCAGUCAGAAGUGAACUCUCACACAAUCUAAAGGAUUACUAAUAUUCACAUUCCAAUGAUUACAACUAAAAUCCAAAUCGAUCAACUUGCUAACAUAAAACUUCACCAAAGGAAAAUAAAAAAAAAUGUUUGGUCUAAAUUAACUUUAGCCAAAACCAGAUAAUAGUUAAAAAGCUUUAGAAAAGACAUGAUUUUUAUAAUUUAUUUUGUAUUUUUUUAAAAUAAAAAUGAUUAAGAAUUAUAAUUUGUACAUGCAUUAUUGAACACUUUUAUAUGCGAACUAUAAAUUUGGCAUGUCUAUCAAUCAAUUUCAUUUGGUCAAAAGUGAUUAUCUUACACUUAUUUUACAUUUUUUAGAGUUUGUAAAAUUUUUUGAUGAUUGUUGUAUAAUUUUUCUAUAUUCUUUACCCAAUUUCACGAAUUUUUUCCUUCAUGUCAAAAAAAUUUUAUUAGAUUUUAUAAAAUACUAAAGAUAAAUUUCAUCAAAAUUCAACAUAGUGAGGACUACAUUUGUUUGUGCGGAAAUAUUGAGAAGCAAUUUAGUGCAUAUUGUUGGAUUUUGAGGACUAAAAGUGCAUUUUUUUCAUAUCAAAGAGAGCUACUACCUCCUUUUACAUAUACAUUUCUUAAUUCAUUUCAUUAUCGUAAUAUUAGUGCAUAUUCAAUAUUCAAUAUCCUUGUGAUUCUUGUAUUGGUGUAAAUACUUGUUUAACUUUUAUACUUGUAAUUUUUAUGCUUCUACUAUUUUUUGUACUAUGAAAAAUAAAUUUACGGUCUUGACCAACAUAGUAAAUUCUAUAAUUUGUACAUCCCCUCAAUUGAUUUUGAUUCAAUUGAUUGGAUCUACAUUUUUAAUCGCAACUUACUAUUUCUUAGGUGUCCUUUUCUUGAAGACUAUAUAUAUUAAGAGGUUCCUUAAGUGAAUUAUUCAGUAUCAUUAACUUAAUGUUUUUUUAUAACUAUAUUUCAUAUCAAAAAUAAAUAAUUAUACUAUAUUUGUAACAUCAAUUGGAUUACUUGCUCUUAACUAAUUAAUUCUGUUUAAUUAACCAUAGUUUAAAUAAGGUUGCGUAUAGUUUAGCAAGUUUUGCUAGAACAUCCAACCUAUUUGAAUCUCUUUGAAACUCCCCCUGGCUUUUGUCAAACAGUUGGUGCUAGACGAUUUCCAGCAAUCUGAUUGAUUAAUACAACCUUUAAUUUUCAAAAAAAUUAAUCAUUUUGGUUUCAAAACUUUGGUGCAAAAAAUCUUAUAGACGAUCACUCUAAAGAUACAACAACUAUCUUGAUCGUGCGCACUCAUGAAUAAAGGCUUAGGCAUACUUCAAAAUUACUUGAUGCAAAAGAAGAAGAAAAGGAAGAAAAGGCAAAGAUCAACUUGAAAAUCAUAAGUGUCUUGAACCUUGUAACUUCUCUUCGUAGGCAAAUAACAACUCAAAGUGGAGCAACUUUAGGACGAAAAUUAAGUUUGAAAAAAGAAUACUUAUACUCAAACUGAAUAUAUCACAGCUCACAAGCAUGAUUGCUCCAAAAAAAAAAAGAAAAAUAAAUCAAUGACACGCAGGCAUGCUUAUCAGGUCUAAUCGACCAUCUAUUGUUGUCCAACCGGUCACUCUUCCCAAUUGAAAAGUGUGUGUCCUUUACGCAAUCAAUGUUGGGCAAGAAGUCUCUUUCUUUUUGAUAAAAAGAAAAAUUUUUAUUAACUAAAUUGUUAGAAUUCGUCCAAUACGAUUUAUUUAACAAAUUUGGGUAGAAAAUUCCAUAGGGAUUCCAUAAGAUUAAAAUUUUUUGCAUAAAAAGCUAAUUCAUGUGCUAUUUUAUUCACAAGAUGUCUUAAGAUCGGAGCAAAAAUAUUUAGAAAGAAAUCAAAACUUCACUGGAGAAAUGCAAUUUUGGUCUUCAAAGUGUGGCUUAUGUGUGAAAUUAGUCCCUAAUAUUUCGAUCAAAACAAAUUUAGUCUCCAAAACUUCUAAUUUUAAGCAUAUUUAGGGCAAUUGACUAGAAAUCAACAAUGAUUAAAAUUUGCUCCAAUAGAAAAAAAGGGAAAAAAAAACACGCAUGCAUCCUAUCUGGUCUAAUCGGGCACCUAUUGUUCCAGCCCCAAUUAUAAGGUGUGUAUCCUUUACACAAGCAUUGUCGCGCUAGAUUCCUUAAUAUCGGAGCAAAACAUUAAGAGAGAACAAAACUUUGAAGGAAGAAACGUAGUUUGUCUCCAAUAUUUGGCCUACGUGCCAAAAUGAUCCCUAAUAUUUUGAUUAAAAUAAAUUUGGUCUCUAAAAUUUCGAAUUUUAGACACAUUUAGAACAAUUGACUGGAAAUCAAUAAUAACUAAUAGUCAAAAUCAAAUUGCCAUUAAUUAACAACUUUGAUUUUACACUCAGUAUAAGAAAAAAAAUAAAAGUCAAUUUUAAGUUUAUAUAAACAUAACAAUACACACUUGAUAUACAAAACAAAAAUUAGUAUAAAAAAAGAAAAAGAAUUAUAGUUUAAUAUGCAAUUUUAUUAAUUAUUGCUACACAAGUUCUUGCAUGACUAGUACACAAAAGCUACAAAUGGUUUUAUUUAAUAAUUGUACUUAUCAAAACCAGUGAACCUAAGUAUCAAAUGAAGUGUUUUUCAUAAUUUUUGGAAAAAUUUCUUUAUUUUUUUUUUGUUUUUCCUCCCUAUUAAAUCCAAGUUCAAUAGUAUAGCUUUAAGAUAUUUAUGUUACUAGUUAUUUACCUUGGUAAUGUUGGUGAAUGAUUCAAAUAAUUCUAUGAAAUGCCAAAUUCAUCGGAAACUCAAUUUAUAACCUAUUGAAAUUAGAAAAGGAAAAACGAACAAUAUAACUUACAUAUAAUACAUGAUCUUUAUAUUUUAAGGGAUAUUUAGUUGAGUGUUUAAUUGUUACUACAUAUGAAAAAUAGUAGAAUUCAUUAUUAAUUAAUUCAUCAUAGUGCAAAAUAAUACAUUCAUUCAUUACACCAAAUCUAAGAUUAGCUAUGUGAAAGACAAGAAAUCUACGAGAAAUUAAUGGGAUGAAUAAAUGACAUAAAAUAAUAAAAAAAAAAAAAUAAAGAAGUUUACUUUAACUUCUCCCAUUUUUCAACACAAUUCCAAUCCAAUUUGUACGUCUUUUCAUUCUAAAACCAUCAAUAUCACUAUCAAAAACCUAAGGGAAUAUAAUGAUUCAAAUUUAAAACAUCAGGAAUAAAAGUGUAAAAUCAAAGCUAUUAAUAAUUUGACAUUGAAUGUUAGUCAUCAUUGAUUUUAUGUCAAUUGUCCUAAAUGUGCAUAAUAUUUGAAAUUUUUGGAACCAAAUUUGUUUUAGUUGAAACAUUAGAAAUCAGUUUAACAUACGUGCCGAAUAUUAGGACUAAACCUGCGUUAAUUCCAAAAUUCAAAUACAACAUUAAAAAUAGAAUUUUUAUGAGAUACUCCGGCACAAAAUAUUUCUCAAGAGCUAAGAAUGAUGGCACCAGGCAUCUGAUGGACCGCUUCUCCCCUUUCGCUAUCAAUAUAGCUUACCAUGUAAGACUGUCGCUAUAAAUUUGUCAAGGCUGCAAUAAUAGUAAACUUAUGAAAUUGCAGAAACAAACAAAAACUUAAGUAUUAUUAAAGGCCAUUGCAUCAUGGCCCACAAAUAAAAUAUAUAGAAGCAAAGGGAUAAUUUGGGAAACCUCCCUUGAGGUUUUUGAUAAUUUUGUCUAGUUCCUUGAGAUUUCAAAAAUUACACAUAUCUCCCUUCAUGUUACCAUUUUGGUAACGAAAACUAUCCGCUGAUCAAAUUUUUGAAUGAAUAACCCAAAAUAUUCUCAUAAAAUUAUGAAAUACAUUUUAAUUUUUCAUAAAAUUCUUAAAAAAUUUUGAAACAUAUACAACAUUGCAAACUCACAUCCAACCCUUACCUCUACUUUUCUAAACCUGCCAUAUUCCCACAUCCCAAAUCAAUACCACUAUCUCCAUGACCACUACCACCACCAUUACUACUACCACCACCAUUACUCUCUAAAUUCUAAAAUCUCAAUAUAAAUGAAAGAAAAAAAAAUCAGUAGUAUUAAAUUCAAAAAAAUUCACCAACUGCAUUAAUAUAACACUUUUAUCCUUCAAAUGUUGGAGUACUAACACCAAUCCCAUCCUUCUUAAACCUUAAACCCAUGUCUUCUAUUACUCAUCUCUAAAUCCUCCAAGUAAACUAAAAUUAAUUUGUAAUAUGUUUAAAAUUAUGUUUAUGGUAUAAUUGGUUAAUUUGUGAGUGAACCUUAUUUUUGUUUGCGUUUAAUGCCCAAUUGUGUGAAAUUCAUACACAUGCAAAAGAUUAGGAACAGAAUAUUUAUUUGCAUGAAAAAAUAUUGAUAUGUUAAGGUUACUAUGGCCAUUUUAGUGAGGUAAGUGUAAUAUUGAAAAUCUCGAGGGUAAUAGGUAAAAUUAUCAAAAAUCUCAAGGGAAGUUUCUGAAAUUAUCCCUAGAGUAAACCGAGCAAAAUAUCAUCAAACUAUUACCUUUUAUCGCUUUUCAUCACUGAAAAUUUUUUUCUUAACUAAAAAUGUCACUCAAGUUUUUUUCAGACAAAAAUGUUAGUCAACUCUUUAAACGUAACUUAUUAGUCAUUUUGUUAAAUUUGGGCAAUAAGGCCACGGGAAAGUCACAUACAUGGCUUGUACGAGUGAUCAUUGAAGGAUGAAAUCAUAAAAAUGUCCAAAUUUUCUUUUAGGCUAAUUUUGAAAGAAAGAGCGACGUUCUCGGGGUAAAACUUAGUUAUAUUAAAGGAUCAAAGACUUUAACUAAAUUACACCGGUCCCUAACUCAUAUCUAAUUUUCGAAACAAAGGUCUUCACUCCCAAAAUUGGGCCUCUUUGCACUAAAACUAAUGAUGCCGAAGUCUUCAGUUGAAGAGACGAAAAUAUCAUCCUGAUCGACUUGAAAGAAGUCCAUGCGGAGGGCUGAGCGCGAUCCAGCUGCUUUUAUGUUCUGUAUGGACAUCAUCUAAGUCACCAUGAGAAAUCGAUACUGGAAAUUGUUUGUGCUUUCAAGAUUUUUGUUGUUUCGCAGGGAGAAAACUAGUAAUUGGAAAAAAUUAAUACUAUGCCUAAAGAAGGAAGACAACAAAGUCGACCAAUUUUGUGUGCAAUUUAUUUUUAAGACUAAGGCCCUAUUUGAUAAUCCAGUUCAACACUUAAAUUUAAUGGAUUCAAAUCUUAACAUAUUCAAACCGUUUGAUAAUAAAAAAUUGAACAGAAUGUGAUGUGCAUUCAAAUAUAUUAAUUAAUACUUAACAAUUUAAUAAUUUAAUAAAUUCAAAUUUAGAUUUUAAAUUUUAAUUUUAUCAAACACACCUGCCUAUUUUGUACCUAAAUCCCGUUGCACAUGUCACGCGUGUAAUUUUCAGUAGAAUUUAAUGCCUAUAUGUAAUCUUUUUCUUUUUUUUUUAUCGACACAAGGGUGUCCGGAUCAAUCCUUACAGGAUCCGACUAAUUCUCCGUGACCUAUAUGUAAUCGAAUGACCAAAAAGUUGCGCUUUUAAUAGUCAGGUAACAUUUUUGCACCAUUUGCUCAAAUAUACAUGAAGUUAACAGAUGGAUAAGACUUUAUUCCACUUACUAUGCAACUUUUUUUAGAAAUCAACAUCAAACAACUCAAAGUAUGGCCCAAUUGAACACAUCAGGAACCAUGAUUUCAUGGCCAUGAGUUUGGUAGGCAAGCCUAGCGCGGUCAAUUUGUACCAAAAUAUGAAAAGACCUAACAUUAGUCCACCAAUCAAUUUAAUAAAGACUUGUCCCAUUAAUUUUAAACAAAGGCCAUGCACAAUUUUUCUUUGACAAGUAGUAUACAAUAUAAUUUUAAGGAAAAGUAAACUCUCUCAAAGCCUAAAAUAUUCUUUACAUUCUAAUACUAAUAAUUACAACUGGUACAAUCCAAAUCAAUCUCCCACUAGCCCCGCCUCUUAGUAAACAAAACUUUACCAAAAGGAAAUAGUAAACAGCAAAAGAUUUGGUCCAAAUCAAACUUAGCCCAAACCAAAUACUAAUAGCUAAAAAGCUUAAAGGACAAGAGUCAAAAAAGUAACUACAAUUAUUACACCUUUACGUACCCACUCGCUCAGAACUCGGUUGAGUUAAGGCCACUUGAAUACCUAGCAGGAACUCGGUGCCGUGUUCGACUCAGUCCACCCUCCAUCACCGCUUCCCAAUCAAUCUCUCCGCUCUCCUCCUCCCCAUCUCUACCUCUCAACACCGCCAAUAUCCUGUUCGCCUUUUCCCUGGCCCGGUCGCUUCCAUGCUCCACCACCGCCUGCAACACCUCGGACGCCCUCGCCUCCCUGGCCAGCCCUCUGAACCUCAGACUCCCAUGACUCAGUGAGUACAAAGCUGCCACACAAUUCUCACGUGUUGACUCGGACGAGUCAGAAUCACUUCUAUCCCGCAAAAUUGCCACCAGGCUGGCCACCGCGCCGCCAUCCAACAACGCCGACCGCCCCUCCGGUGACACCGCCAAAUUGCAAACCACCAACACCACCCUCCCCACCAAAACCCCACUCCUCAACAUCCCCAACAAAAUCCCAACGGCUCCAAGCUUAAUCAACUUUACCCUAUUGCUACUAACAAUGCUCAGAUGAUACAACGCCAAGGCCGAGUCACGCCGAGUCAACUCGGUCCCGGACCUCAAAGCAUGCAACAAUGGCUCCAGAGCUCCCAAAACCCCAAUCGCCAUCUUAUUCUCGUCCUGCAGAGCUAAACUGAAAAUCCCACCUGCGGCAUGCGCCUGAGACUCCUCAAAUCCACCCUUUAACAAAUCAACCAGAAUCGGAACCAUCCCAGAUCGAACAAUCUUCACUUUAUUCACAUUAGCAAGCGAAAGAUUCACAAUCGAAGCAACUGCAUUCGUCUGCACAAUUGGAUAUCUCGAAACCAGCAGAGGCUUUAUCGCCUGUAAAAGCUUCGGGGUACAGAGUCUUACCCUAGCAUCUUCAUCGUUUGCUUUAGUGGUUUUUCGUAAAAGAAUCACUGCUUCCUCCUGUUCCAUCACAUCCAAACUCUUGAACUUCGUAACAAACAUUUCAUCCAUACCAAUACCAGUACCAAUUCCAUCCGGUGUACCCAGAGCUUCAUCGUAUACUGUUUCUGAAGAGGACGAUGACGGAGCUGAUGAUGAUGGCGAAGAAUAGCAAGCUGGACGAGUGGCAAAUGGGAGAAAAGGGGUAGCGUUUGCAAUCACAGAUUCCUCCGAAGACGAGGAGUAAUUGUUGCGGGGAUUCAAAUCAGAAGCCGCAUGAGAAAACAGAAAUGGAGGGUUAUUCUCUACCCCUCUCAGCAGCUCCGUUUCAGAAACUGAAGGUUCCUGUUGAGAGGCCGUUUUUGCCUGAACAAUGGUGGUUUCCAUGGAAGAAUAAUCAGGUGGGGAGGGGAUUUCGACACGGGAUUGUCGACACCAGUUGAUAAUCGAAGAUUUAAGAGCUAAAUUAGGAAUUACAGCGGAAAAAUCAGGGGUUGAGCCAUCGGAUAAAUUUGGGAUAACCCCUAAAUCCUUGCAAACUUGAACAGCAACCCGCUCGAAAGUUUGGCCAGAAGAAACCACCACAGGAUCAGACAUCAAAGACCCAGAAAUUGGGCAGAGGAAUUCAGCAGGUGGGUCUAAUUUUUGCUGUGACUUUGACGAAGAAGAGGACUUGUAGAUGGAGAUUUUCCAUCUCCGAAACUUGCCAUUUCCACCCAUUUCUGAACUUUGAGUGAUAGAUUGAAACGCUUCCCAAAUGGGUUGGUCUAGAUUUUCAAGAAUUUAUGGCGGAAGCUAAUGAAAUUCAUGAAAUUCUGUAGUAUUAGGUUUGGGAUUUUUUUUUGGGAGAAUUUGGAUUUUGGGGGCGUUGGAGAGGACCGGAUUUUUUUGCAACGACCGGAUCUUAUGUUGUUGAAGAACUUUUGAAGAAAAAGUCGCCUAAACCUGUUCUAGAUAAAAUUUGAGAGAAAAAGAUUGACUGGGUUCGGUAACUGGAUUUGGCAAUUUGGGUGAUGAAAUAUUGGAAGAUACGGCAGAUUUUUGUUGCUCUACUGUACAACGCUGUGUAAUGAUACAUACGAUACAGAUAGAGAUUCUGUUUUCACUUUUUACUUUUUUUUUUCCUGUGUGCUGGACAAACUAUUUUGUACUAUUAGUUCACAAAGGAUUUUCGGUCCCAUUUUCAUACCAUUUUCUAUUCUAAUAUUUAUUAAAUUACUAUAUAAGUUUCAUAAAUGUUCUAUUUUAAUUCUUUUGCUUGUCCUUUUAAAUUCUAACCCUACUAAUAGGGUAGAAUAUAAAAGAUAACUAACUAAAAAAAUUUAACUCAAAAUGGUUGGUUUAUGAAUUCUGUGUUUGUUUUUUGUUAUGUAUUGAUUUUUUCAACCUAUUAUCUUUUGUAUUUUACCCUGUAAAUAAUUUUUGGAACCUAAAGAGACAAAAAAGAAUUAAAAUAGAACAUUCAUAAAGAAAAAAUAUAUAACGAUUUAAUAAAUGUUGGGAUAGGAAAUAGUACAAAAAGUGGGACAAAACACGAUGGAGUUUUUUGUCCUACUUCCCAUUGUGUCCCAUCUUUUAUUAUAGAAUUUUCCUUUAUUAUAAUAUCAUUUCUCUUUCAAAAAAUUCUGUUUUAAUUCCUUUUCAUUUCCUUAAGUUCAAUCGAUUAAAACACAAAAUAUGACAUAGUCAUAGAAUUUUGGAUAAAUUACUUAUUACCCCACUGUGGUUUUACAUAAUGGGGGGAGAGAGUUCAAAAUAACUUGAAUGGAGUUGAAAGUAAGCCUCCAGAUCGAACAAGCACAAAUGUGAGAUUCGAACCCUUAAUCCAAUGUUAUUAAAUUCGGACCGGAUAAUGACUCGGCUAAACUAUUGGCUCAGGGGUCAACUGGUCAGAUCGAUCGGAUCAUUCUAAAAAAUCUGUUAACAUCAACAUGAUGUCAUAAUUAUUUUAUAUUUUAUAAGUUUCAAAAAAAUUGAAAUUAACUUCUUGAUUAUAUUUGACCAAUCAUAGAAAAUGUUCCAAAAAUAUUAGACUUGCAAUCAAAUAUACACCUAAUAAUUAUAUAUAAAAAUGUAAGUUCAUGGCUAAAAUAUAUCUAUUCACCAAAACUACUUGAAAAACUAUAUUAAAACAAAUUAAUGCAAGUUGGAAUCACUGAUGCUAAAUUGAUAAGAUCAUAGGGAUAAAAACAUCUUGAUUUAGAGAUCAUUCAGAAAAACAAGUGAUUUUGAUACUUAUACUAAGUAGGUGGAGUUUUCUUAUUCCUAUUAAUAAAUGAAUGUGUUACAAUUUAGGUAAUUCAAAUUAUGUUUGGAGAAAAGAAGAUAGAAAAGUUUGAGAAUCGGGUCAACCAGUUGCACCAGAUCACUCGUUUAACUGAAUUUUGAUGGUUUUGACAGAUUUCUUACCAAAGCGAUUUGGUGCCACAAAUCCGUUCGAAAAGAAGGCCAGUCCACUGUCAGACCGAUCGAACCAACCAAUCCGGUCCAAGUCUAACAACACUGCCUUAAUCAAUUCCAAUCUGGUGCACGAAAAAGUUCCAAGAGGUCCUCUUUGGUUAUUAAACUUGUUUGAAAAUAUAAAAUCAUCAAGUGAACUGUAGCCAAGGUCUUUCAAAAUGGAAAAUGGGAGCAUGCCAUCCAUUCUAAAAGUAAUGAACAUGUGAGGACUUGAAAAUUCGUUUAUAUUUUCUUAUAAUUCUCUUUAUUUUUGAAUAAGUUAAUUCAUAGUUUCUUUAAUACUAAUUUACUAGCUUUAAUAUUUGUAACUAUAUUUUUUUACGAUAGAGUCGAGAGUUUUUACUUUUACUUUUAUAGUUUAGUAUAUGCUAGGUUUUAUAGUGCGUUGUGGUAGUGUGAUCAAUUGGAAAGGUGUGUACACUAAGUUUGGUGGAUAAGAGCGUGUGUUAAGUAAGAGGAAGUAUGUGAUUAAAAGUGCUAAGAGUAAAUUAGUGAAUCAUAAGUUAAAAAUACAAGAGAGACAGAGAAAUAGGCUUGAACCAACUCGAGCCGCUUGUUACCGAUCAAAGACACCACUUGACCAAGACUUUCUUUCCCUAAUCUUCUUAUUUUCCUUUUAUUUUUCCUUCCCUAUUUUUUUUAUGGUGUUGGCUAAAAUUUUGGAGAGGAAAAAGAGAGGAAAAGAAGAAAAAGAAAAGAGGAAAAAUAGUUGAGUGCCAAGUGUUGGCAAUCAAGGUCAUCUUUGGCCAAAACCUUUCUUCCAUCUUUAUCUUUCAUAUCACCAAAAUUUCCUUCAUUUCUCUUCCUUGUUGACCGAACUUAGAGAGGAAAAAAACAGAGAAGAAAGCUUCAAAACUUACCUUGAUCUUGCCUUGAUUUAGUGAGGAAUCAACAAGAACCACAAAUCUAAACCGAAGAAAGUUGCAACAAGGAGACAAGAAGGCUUGUAGUGGAGUGAUUUGGAAAGGAAAGCUUUGGUUUUCAUUUUUCUCCUAGGGGUUUGAAGGUAUUAAGUUAAGAAACUCUUCUUCUCUUUCUCAUCUUGCAUUUUAUUGGAUAUAUGCCUUGAAUAUGGAGGUUUUGUGAAAGGUUUCAUGGAUUUGUGAAGAUUGGUGAACUUUUCAACUUUGAUUUAUAUUUUCUAGCCAUGAGAUGAUGAUAUCUAGCUUUGCUAUGGACUUGAGAGUUUUAAUAUGAAGAUUUCUAGCUUUAGUAUAAAUUUUUAGCUUCAAAAUAGGAUUUUUCAACUUAGUUUAUAAAAUUCCAGCCUAGGGUUUAAUUUUCCAGCUUGAGUACAUGAUGAAUAUAUGCUAUGUAUAUGCCUAAAUUAGUUAGUUUGGUGGCCUAGUAUAAGAACCCCUUUUACCUUAUAACUUGUGGAGUUGAUUUGGGCUGUUUUGCCAUGAAGCUUAGGUUGGAAAAUUGGAGAAAAAUUGAAGGAAAAACAAGGGAGGUGCUGCCCGUUUCUUUUCUUGUAGUAUAAGCGAGUGAAAGUGAGAGUAGAAGGAUGAGUUGUAGUUGAUUCGGACUUAGUUUACUUAUGAAUGCUUGAUUCUACUUUGGUUAUGAGUUAUAAACUGAAAUUUUAUCAAAAACUAUAUAGUUUGAAAGGAGAAAGUAAUGGCCGUUUUAAGCGUGAUUUCUAGUUGCAUAAGUCAAGUUUUAAACUUAAAGGUUUUAAUCGUUUUCUUUCUAAAAACAAAAGGAGCGUGCAUGUAUCUUGCAUAUAGUUUGCUAAGCAUUAUAUGGUUCAUUUACAUGAUCUUUCUUUGAUAUUAACAAGUGAGGGUUGUAUAUUUUGAAACCCUGUUUGAUUGCAACUUGCCAUAUGAUAUUCACUCGCAGAUUUCGAGAGUAACCAGGGUGUAGGGUCUGAGCUUGACAUUGAUAAGCAGUAACUCAUUGGUGAGUGCUCAAAUUGCAUGAUUUGGAUUAUGUGAUGCUUCAUAUGACUUGUUGUUGAGAUUGACUUGAUAUUGCAAAGGCGAGUGUGUACUUUAUCGCACUCGACCUAACUUACUUGAAUUCUUGUCGACUUGUUUGCUUGUCAUGCCAAUCUGUGCAUGACUUGAAAGCCGGUUGGACUUGUUAUCUCGCUGACUAUACUUGUUUUGGGAUCCCAUACCCAUUGGCUAGUUGGUCAAAUCGAGCCAGCAAGGGCUUGGUGGAGGUGACCAAUGAACCAUGGGUCUUAUAUCUUGUAUUAGCCUUGGUAUAUUCAAGUAUUACCCUACUUGCACUUGAUUGGCAUGCGGGCCCGGGUAAGGGGGAUGAUCGGUGGUCGGAGAUGGCGUGAAGUGGUGAUCUACUAAACUUGAUAGUGUAUUCUGCAAUUGACGGAGUGUCAACGGUUACAAGUUAAGCGGCCAAUGUGAGGAAAAAUGUAUCCUUUUACUUGAAUGUGCCACUUGUUCUUGAUUUGCUUAGUGACCGCCUUCUUACUUGCUUUGAGAUUGAUUCUUUGUUUGCAUGAAUUAUUUUGGAACUUCAUUGAGUUAUGACUCAUCCUAUUAGUUUUGUUUUCCUUACAGGGGGUGCGAGCAUGGACGAGUAACUGUGAUCGGAUGAAUUUUAUCCAGAUAUUUUGACUUUGUAAUUGUAAUAGUACUAGUGCUCGUCUAGGGUUUGGAUUUCAACUAGAGAUUGAAUCUUUUGCCAUACUUUGAGUAUGUAUGGACGUUUGAGAUGACUGAGUGUGUAUAUAUAUUUUAAGUUUGGAAACUGCUGCUAUUCUUAUUCUUGAAGUUAUAAUUCGGUUUUUAAAUUAUGUGAAUGAGUCUUGACGAGAGUUAGACAGGCGGUCCGCUAAACCCUGGGGUACUCCCUUGGGGGAGGUGGGGUCGUCACAGAACAGGCCACUUGUUUGUCCAAUAAUAAUCAUCUUAUCUCACACUCUUUUUUUGCCAUUUUCUUUCCAUUUUGCAUCCUUUCAACUCUCUAAUUCUUUGCCCUGUCCAGCUUUGCUCUGCUCCAAUUUCAUUCUCCUCAAACCUCUUCAUCAAAACCUAUAUUUUCAACCAUCUGGCUGUCACCUCUCUUCUCUCCUCUCCUGGCCAUCCUUAAUUGCUCUCAAAUCCCAAAUUAAUUACCUUCUCUCGGAGAUUAUGUCAAUUACACUCUUGAAUGGUUGACUUGUACAUUCUUCCCCGUUAUCCUCUCUCUUUUUUUAUUUCUUUUGAAAAUACUGUUCAAUUAUUGAUGAUUAAAGGGAAAAUUGACUAGAGGGAUUACUAGGGUUGGUCCAGUAAUUGGAGGGGGCUCUUAAGGUACUCGUUGCUAUCAUGUUGAAUUGAAUCCUAUGCCUAUGGGUAGCUUGCAAUGUAGCAUGGAAUUUCAUCUAAAUUUCAAGACUUGCCCCUCUAAAAUAAUAAAGAUGGGUAGGGGGUAAACGUAUAAACCAAAUGUAAGUUGACCCCACUAGGUGAGAGAAUCAAAUGUUUCAUUUUUAUAUAACACUAUAAAAGUCAAAUAUAUUGUACCUGGUUUUCCAAAUGUGAAGGGUCAUGUUUUCUUAAUUUUUGGAACUAUCUUUCUAAAAUCUAGGAUAAAAACGAAGAAUAACUAAACAGCAGGGAUAAAAGAAAGGAAUCUUCUAGAAUUAUCUUUCUAAAAUCUCUGGUUAAAACUAUCGAUAAAUAGAAAAACUCUACAGUUAGUCAAUCACUUAAAAACAUCUCCUAAACUUCUCAUUAGAACAACAAAACUCCUUCUAAAAUACCUCCGUCAAACAAACUAUAUAGAGAACUUUGGAGCAACAAGUAAAAUAUUCUACACAAUUCUUCCACAAUUAUAUAGGUUAGUAAAAUCUCACACUAUAUUUUUGUGUAAUAAUUCAAUAUUUGUUGAGACAAUACUAGUGCUAUUGUUGUUAAUUUUAUAGUAUUUUGUAAGGCUUUAAAUUUUUGUAUUUGACUCAUUUUUUAUCUUUGACAAAGAAAAUAUAUUUUAAUUAUGUAUAACAUUUAAUUUUCAAUCAAUUAGUACUUGAGUUGUACUUUUAUGAUUUGUACAAAUCAGAUUUUUUUAUGACUACUCGUUAAGAACGAUGAUGAAUUUUUAUGUAUUAAUACUGAAGUAGGUUUUAGAAUGUAGAGAUCUUAUAUUCAAAUCCCCCUUUCCCUUUUCCACUUCUUAAACCCCACCCUCCCUUAUUAAAGAAAAAUAAAAUAGUAGUUCUAUUCUUACAAUGAAAAAUGGAUAAAAUAUUGUACUUAGUGUCAUUUUUUUUUAAGUUCACAACUCUGCCAGUUAUUUAUAUUAUAUUGUGUAUCCUAUUAGUUAAUUUAAUUAAUAAUUAAUUUUAAAACUCAAUCUACAAAUUUUGCCCCUUCUCCCUCUCUGAACCAAGGUCUUGGCUUUGCCUCUAAUAGUAGCAUAGCUAAUUUUCUUUUUGCUUUGAUGGGAUUGGUUUACCAAGAAAGUUGCCCUAACUUUACAAUUUGUAAGAUGCUUUAGAUAUUUUUCCUUUGAUAACUAUUUAUUAGAAAAAAACUAACUUGAUAUCCCGUGUUGUGCAUGGGUACUAUAAAUUGUUAAAAAUAAUUUAAAGUUUUAAAAUAAAAUAUUUUAACAAUGUUAUUAUCAUACAAUACUAUGUAAAAUCUUUUUAACUCUAUGUAAUUUAGUGAAUAUUAUUCGUUUGCUAAAUUUGGAAGUAGUUAAAAAUAUGGUAGAAUAUGGUAGAAAUCUGUAUAAUUUGUAAAGAUAAAGGCUUAGUGUUGUCAGCAUAAUAUUUAGAAUAAAAAAUUUAGAAUAUACUUUUACUUGGUUUUUGAAUUUUAAAGUGGUACUAAUUCAAUAGACUUCGUUGAACUUUGAGAACAUUGUGAUGUUGUAAAAUUUUAGUAAUUCAGAGAAAUAAGUGAUACGGUAUAUACUAUAUUUUUAGAGGAAAUUAAAAAAUUUUAACUUAUAACAAAUUAGCAAGGAAAGCUUCUAGAAGUUCUUAACUAGUGAAUAAUUAACUUUAUGCCCUAUGCAAUGCACAAGAGUAAAAAAUUUCUAAAAUUGAUUUAAAAUUUUAGAAUAAAUUAUUUAAGUUAUAUAAUAGAGAAUCAUCUAAAAUCCUCGUAAAGAAAUGUAAUUUUAAAGUGAUGCAAUUAGAGAUUUUAAAACAAAUUUGCAAGUACUAAUGUUCAAAAUGUCCAAGCAUUUUUCGCACUAAUUAAUCUUUGUAGAGUUGGAAUUAAUCUAAAAAUAUAUUGAUUUUACAUGAAAGAUAAGAUGUAGACAAUAUUUUUGCAAUAGUGAAACUGAAUAUUUUUGCAUAAUUUAAAAGUAUUGUAUCCUUGCUCAACCUUUUGUAAUAAGACAAUCAGAAAAAUUCUUUAUUUGUAUACAUGGCUGAGGAUAAAAAUAUACCACUUUCACCUUUAUAAAGUGGUUACGCAUUGAUACUUACUCAUUUGUUAAAUUUUUCUUUAAAGUUAUGAUAUCCUAGGUACAAUAAUAUUUCGUAAAUGGCAAUAUACGCUAUUUGUCAACAUUGAAGUAGAAAAUUUUACAUAGAGUGGCUUAUUGAUAAGUUUGUUUUACUAAGAUUUUUUUUAACCAAUAGGAAACGUUAAAGUAAAAAAUUUUAUUUAGGCAGGCUUACAAUUCCUUAUUGAAUUUUUAAACUCUCUUUGUAAUAAUUCCUAUAGUAAGUUAAUUUUUUUUUUUUUGGAUGUAAUAAUAUAUGAACAUGUUGUAAUCCUUAUUUAGAAAGCCUAAUGCCUGCUAAUUUAACAAAAUAACGCUAGACAAUAGCGUUUCUGUGUGGAUAGUUAUUUAUACAUCCUAAUGUUUUUCUAAUAUAACAAAAUCAUGCUGAAUGAAAACAUUUAGAUCUCACCUUAAGAUAAGGUGGAGUAUGUAGUUCCUAAUGCUCAAUAAUAGAUUCAUGCCAUUUAAUAAUUUAUGAUUCAUGCUCUUUUUAACCUCUUUGGCUUAUUGAUCUUUUCUUCCAGUUAACAUGACCCGAAAAAAAUUUUUCUUUUGCUCACAACAUCUUUUUAAUCACUGAUCAAAAUAAAUACAAUAACAAAGAUUUGUAUGUGACUUUCAUUCAAAUUUUUAGUUUUUUGUUUAUAAGCAUUAGAACUUUAUUACAUCUAUUUACUUCUAUUUUUGUAAUUUCUUUCAUUGUUAUAAAACCAUAAUAUAGGUUUAUGUUAUUCGUAUCCAACUGCGCAUGCAUAAUAUUUUUCUACCAUCUUAUACCCUUAAAUUUGUUGAGUGCUCAUAGAAUAGUAUUUUUCAUAAACUUUAAUAUGGGUUACAAAAAAAUCUUUUUAAGAUAUGUUGUUAGAGUUUUUAGAAUUAUUAAAAACUAUUACAAUUUUCAUUCUUUCUUACCUGCCAAUUGACCAUCCACUACCUCCUCUAACCUUCACACCUCUUACUAUAGUGUCAUGCCAUCCUUUCUGUCAUUUUAUGCCACCUCUUUUAUAUUCUCACAAUUCUCUUUGUUCUUCCCUGUUCUUUUCAACAACCUUGUUGUUCGCUUUUCUUCUUCACCUUUUCUCACCGCUCUUUAACUCCUCACUAUUCGCUUUCUCUCUACCUCUAGCUUUGUAUUCUUGCCACUUAAUUUCCUAUCCCUUUCCCCACAUCAUUCUCCCAAACUCUUGGAUAGCCCUCCUAACCUCUAUCCCCCCAUGCCUAACCUCUUUCAUUUCCCUUCCCCUUACCUCUCCCUUUUUCUUCUACCUACCCAAUCAAAAUUUUUUAUUUGAGAUAUAUUAUGCUAUAAAAAACCUAUAGUUUUCUUUUAUAUACUUAUAAUAACUACACAAUACACGUGUCUAUAAUAUGCUCUGUGUGUGUUGAAAUUUUCCUUUUUCUAGUAAUCGGCAUUUCUCACAUCUAUUGGUUUGAGAGUCCUAAUUUUCUAACUUUUUAUUAAAAAUAUAACUUAAAAAUUAACAUAUUGUCAAUGUUACACUAUUACAAAGUAAAUUUGAUGAGCAAAAUAUAAAAAUGAAAUUUAAUACAAAAGUAUAAAAACCAAAUUUAGUUAUUUUUCAUAUUAUUUUUGAAUUGAAUAAUUUCAAAUUUCAAAGGAGAAGUUGAAUCCAUAUUCAAUCCCAAAUUGAAGAGUUAAAUCUAAAGUAAAAGAAAAAAUUUCCAUAACUUGCAAUUUGGUUCUACACUUAAAAUAUACUUAUAUUUGUGCUUUCAAAAUAAAAUUGAAAAGAUAAAAUUUGAAGCAAAAGAUAACCAUAGCUUGCAAUUUGGUUUAACACUUUUACAAUAUAGUAUUGCUAUCUGAAAAUGCAAACAAAAAACUGAUAAUGUCUUAUAAUGCUCCCAACUACUACACAAAAUUAUCUAUAAAAAAAUGACAUACAAGUUACAUAUUUACAUAUGAAGAAAAUGAUAAGAAUACAUAAAAUAAUCAAUAAUAUCCAUGGCUAUUCUUAGUGUUUGGGUUUUGUAUACUUAUUAACUUAGUUAGGGUCAAAUUUGGAUCAAAUAUGUACAAAUUAAGUAGAAACAGUUUGGGAUAAAAUGGUCUUUCUUUUUUUUCCUUAAACUACAUUCUUAGUUUUAAUUUUUGGUAGAAUUAUUGUUGUCUUUAUUAUUAUUUUUCAUCAAAAAUAAAGAUUUCAAAUAAAAAUUUCCAUAUCUAAAGGCUAGUAGUACUUUGUUUUUUAGUUAGCAAUUUCACAAUUUAGGUUUCAUGAAUGGUACCAUUCUUAUUUUUUUAAUCCAUAAUCAAUAAAUAUUAUUUCCUUUUUAUUUUCUAUAUAAUUUGCCCUUUUAGUUAGAAUUACUAAGUUGAAGACUAAAAUAUUAUUAUUUACCAUUUUACUUUUAGUAGGUUUGGUGAUGUUUUCUCUUUAUUUAUCCUCACAUUAAUAGACUUCAAACCAAAUCAUAUGUAGACAUAAUAAAGUCAUAUUCUUAUACUUAUCCAUUUUCCUAUUCUCUAUCCUACUUGGCUAAAUAAACAAGCGAGUUUAUUUUACUCUCUCUCAUGUUAAUCACGUGCUAUCUCUCUCAUAUCUCUCCCUUAAUAGCCUAGCAUCGUUAUUUUUUUCCAUUGUGGAUGAACUUUUGUUAACUAAUUCCUCUCUCACUCUUUCUCUCAAAUCCUUUUAUGAAUCUAUCAUACUCUUUUCCACAUCAAAUUUUAAAUUCAAAACCAUCUUAUCAUGUGAGUCGUAUUUUUUAUGUUUAUUUAUAAGCUUUAUCACUUUCCCUUUCUAUUUGUCAAGGAUGCAAUUUUCAGGUACAUGAAAAAUGUCUUCCAACAAAAGAAUAAAAUAAUACACGAAAAAGGUCUAUUCAUUGUUUCUUUUGUUAAUUACUUCCUCUCUCACCCUUUCUCUCAAAUCCUUUUUAUGAAUCUAUCAUAAUCUUUUCCAUGCAAAAUUUUAAAUACAAAACCAUUUUAUCAUGUAAGCUGUAUUUUUUAUGCUUAUUUAUAAGCUUUAUCGCUAACCCUUUCUAUUUGUCAAGGAUGCAAUUUGCAGGUACGUGAAGAAUGUCUUCCAACAAAAGAAUAAAAUAAUACACGAAGAAGGCCUGUUCAUUGUUUUUUGCAUGAUUUUUUAAAAUUUUUUAUCAAUCUAUCGUAAUGUUUUCCAUAUGAAAUCGUAUCAUAAUCUUCAUGUAAGUCCUAUUUUUUCAUGCUUAAUCAUAAAAUUGAUUCCUUUUCCUUUUUAUUUGUCAAGGAUGCACUCUGCAAUUACAUCAAGAAUGUUUUUCAACAAAAGAAAAAAAAAGGUACAUCAAGGGGGUUUAUUCACUGUUUUUUGCAUAAUUAUUUAGAAAGUCUUAGCAACGGAUUUGUGUUUAGAUGAAUUUUAGGCCAUUUGUGUUGUUUCCACAGAUUUGUGCUAAACUAAGAUAAUUUGAGAUACAAAGUUUUUGAAGGUGGUUUGUGGCAAUAUCCUAUGAUUUGCGAACUUCAGCCAAUCCAGGAAUGAUGAAGAAUAGAAGAACAUGAUACUUCAUUGUUACCUAAACAAAACAUGCUAAGUUGUUACUUUUCAGUAAAUGGUAUUGGGCAGUACAUAAAUUAAAAGUAGAAUUAAAAAUCAUUUACUUUCGAAAAUGUCAAAGUAAGUCACAUUCUCUAAGUUAAAUUAUGAAUUUCUUGGUAUUUUUAAUUAUUAUUAAAUCUAAGCUAACAUUGUUUCUGCCAAAGGACAUGUAGUAGUGCUGCAAGAAGGUAAGAAUUGAAGGUUAAGAGAGAUGUUUUUCUGUAUUAGCAUAAAUGACUGGCGGAUAAAUAAUUGUGGAGAUUGACAGUACUAAUCCCAGAUGCAGAAGUACCUGCAACAUUGCAGAUUAAGUGCUAGAAGUUUGGGAAAUUUAUAAAGCACAAGUGUCAAAACUUUGGAGAAUUGAUAGAUCUAUAAGUUACAUCAGUUAGUUUUCUUUGUUGAUUGUGGAUUUAGCUGCUAGCGUGCUGCCAAGUUGGAUUCAGCGUCUAAGAUUUUGGACUUUAAAUUGAGGAUAGUUUUCUUCAGUUAAUAUGCAACAAAUAAACAUACAUUAGUUUAAAGGGAUAAUUUUAGAAACCUCCAUUGAAAUUUGAAAAAUUACACCUACUUCUCUUGAUUUGAUAGUUUUAGUAACAAAACCUCAAAAUAAUAUUGACUUGGUCAAAUUUUUAAAUAAAUACCUAAAAAUGCCCUUGAGUAAUGAGUUUUAAUUUACUUUGCUAUACAAUUAUAAAAUUAUCUAGUAUAAUUAUAAGAAAAGGUGCCAAAUUUUUCAUGUUCAUACUACUAUUUGAUAAAGAAAUAUAAUAAUAAUUUUAUCAUUAUGAUAGAAUACUUUUAAUGGUAUUUUAUUAUGGAUUUAAAUUUAUAAUAUAGAAAAGAAAAUGUUGAAAUAAUUCAUUUAGAGUUUAUGAAUUUUUCGAGUUGUGGGAUUAUCAUAAUUUAGUAGUUGUUUUGGGCAAUUUUCUUUUGAUUUAUUGUUAAUUUUAAUACCAAAAAAUAAAAAACAAUGAUCAGCAAAAACAUUGGAUUGCAUAUAAAGUUAAUUCAUCAAAAAGAAAUCACUAGUUUGACAUUUGGUAACAAUAGAAACUAGAGAUAAUAGUGGUAAUUUUACAGUUUUAUUGGCAAAAAAUUAAAAAAAAUGGAAUAAGAAGGAAAAAGAAUAAAAAAAUAAUUUUAAAAGUUAUUCUGAGUAUAAACAUACCAAACAAGGGAAUUUCAUUAAAAUAUUUAGGGAUAGUAUUGUCAUUUUAAAUGACAAGGGAGGUGUGUGUAAUUUUUAAAAUCUCGAGGGAGCAAAAUGAAAUUGUUAAAAACCUCAAGGGAGGUUUCUUAAAUUAUCCCUAGUUUAAAUGCUUAAACAUGGAUUACUUUGUGCAAUAAGUAUAAAACGUAUGCCUGAAUCAUAUAGAUGACUUUUUUUCUUAUCAAAGAAAAUUCAAUUAGAAAGCACUGAACUUCAAAGAGAGUAACAACUGCUAGGGGGUGUCUAAUUGUGUAGCUAAAGUAAAUUCAGUAGACUAUGAUUGUUUGAUAUAAUAUUUUCCAGUUAAUUAAUUAACUCAAUUACAAGAGACAUAUUAGAACUUGACUAUAUCUUUUAGGGAUAAUUUCACAAACCUCCUCUGAGGUUUUUAACAAUUACAAAGAGAUCCUCUCAGAUUUUAAAAAUUACAUUUAUCUCCCCUACUUUUAAUAUUUAGUAACAAUGUAGGUCCAAUAAGAUAGAUUUUCUCACAAAAAUCCUAAAUUGCCCUUUUGUACAAAAUUAAGAAAGAAAAAAAUAGUAUACUCAAUCAUCUUCUUCUAUACUUUACAUAAAUUAACAAGCUUAAUUCCUAACAAUCAUCUAAGCAUAAGUUCUAAAAUCAAGUAGUCAUUCAAAAAAAUCCUAAAUUACAUAUAAAAUAUCAAUACUUGCCACUAAAAAAGAAGAAGAAAAACACGCACACAAACCCAAGUGACAAUUAGUUAUACCAAAAAUUAAAUAUCAAUACUCAAAUACCUUUUCAAUACAAGUUAAUCUGAUCUAAAACCAUUAUUACAACCCUCCUAUGGUUUUAAAAAUAUUAAUAUCUUAAAAGUAAAAAAUAAAUUUUACCUCCAUAAUAAAAUCAUAAUAAAAAAUCUAAUCCAAUGAAAGAAAUCCAUAUGUAAUUAUUAACAUUUUAUAAAAGUUUUUUUGACAACAAACAAAAUACGACAAUUUUCACAUCUUUAGUUCUUCUUCCUAUUUCAAUCAUCAAUUUUAUUAUUUAUUUCUAUAUCACUGCGAGUCUCUUCAUUUCCUUCAAAUUUGACACAUAAUCUGCUCUCUGUUGCUUUUGUAAAUUUCAAUUUGCUAAUAUCCACAAAGUUGAAGAUAAAUAAAAAUAUAUUAUAUUAAUUAAAAAAGAGAGAAGCAAAAAUAGACAAGAGACAGAAAAAUAGAAUUUUUUUGGGUUUUGUAAAUUUAUUGCCUUAAAUUUAAAAUUGCCCACCAAGUGGAGGGCAUUAUAGGUAUUUUACUAUACCAAGGGAGGUAAGUGUAAUUUUUUAAACUUUAGAGGAGCCGAGUGAAAUUGUCAGAAAUCUCAAGGGAGGUUUCUGAAAAUUUCCCUAUCUUUUAAGCACAUACGUUCAGUGGAGUGGCUAUCCAAAGAUAUAUGUGCACUCGAGCAAUUUGCUAAAGUUUGGUAAAGCGCUUAUCCAAAGAUAUAUGUGCAUUCAAGAAUCAUUGAGGAUCAGUAUCUUUAAUCCAUUUUAUGAAUACACCAUUUCCUAAAAAUCCUGAUCAUCUGGAGUUGGCAACAUUUGAUUAGAAGUCUAUUUCUUUCUCUUUUGAAAUUGCACAAUUCUCCUAGAAUUAGAUCGUUUGACCCAAACAUGAUUUUGUAAAAUAAAGAAUCUUAACACAUCCUUGAAUUAUGAACUAAAUUCACUUUGAUAGUUUAAGCAGAUCAAGAAAGAUAAAAUUAGCUUUUAUUACCACUUAUCUUUGUAUAUGUGAGUCCUUAUCAAGGUGCAAAAUUAUUAAUGACAAUCUAAUACCAAAUUUAAAAUUUUCCAUCUUAUUAAGGGUUAUAUAUAUAUAUAUAGUUGUAACAAAAUCAACCGUGAAUUAACUAUUUUUAAUAAUUUGAUCAAAUAAUAAAUUCAUGAGAAAAAUGCAGUUUUGGUAUCCAAACUUUGACACAUGAGCGGUUUUAAUCUCUAAAUUUUGGAUAAAAACAAAUCUAGUACCCAAAUUUUCAACUAUUGAGCACAUUUAGUAUCCUUGACGGAUUUUUUCCAAAUUACUACUGAAAAAAGUUACGUAAUAGUCAUAUGUUCGAAAACUAUUGUAUAAAAAAAUGCCAAAAAAAUGUUAAGGACUAAUAAUUUUAUCAAAUAAAAUAUCCUUCUGAUACUAAGUACUAAAUUUAAAAACUAAUAAUUUUAUCAAAAGGAUAUUUUACAUUUUAUGGUAAUUUUUUAUUAAUAGUUGUUAAACAUGUGACUAUCACGUGACUUUUUCAAGUAGCAAAAUGGGAAAAACCGUCAAUAGUACUAAAUGUGCUCAAAAAUUGAAAGUUUGGGCACCAAAUUUGUUUUUGUCCAAAGUUUGGGGAUUAAAACUGCUCAUCUGUCAAAGUUUGGGUACCAAAACUGCAUUUUUCUCUAAAUUCAUUAAUAAUUGAGUCACGAGGUAAGAUUCGAUUGAAAUUAAUUAUUAAGUUAUUAUGAAUUAACUAUUUUUACUCAACUUAAUUUAAAUAUUUGACUUACAAUUUAAAUAUUUUUAAUUUAAUACUUUUAGUUCUUUUGUAUCAAUUUUCGUUCCAAAAAAUAUAAGCUUUAAAACAAAAAAAGUAUCUGUACAAAUGCACGGGUGAAUAACUAGUUCCUAUAUAAGUAGAGCUACCACUUAUUUUUUGAAUUCAAAAGACAUGAAAGAAUAUAUAACAAUUUAAAAAGUCAAAAUUCUAUAUAAAAAAAUGAAUGAAGAAGUUGGAAGUAUUCUAACUUAACCAUACUAAAAACGCCUUCCCAAAUUUAUAUUGAUAUAGAUCAUUUCAAAGAAUUAGCAUUUGAAUUGUGAGCCAUCUAUUAACCAGCCUGCCUCAAACAAAUUUAAAUUCCAACAAUCUAUUAAUAUUUGAAAAGAUUAACUUAAUUAGUGAUGAGCUAUAAAUGUCAAUAUGCAUAAUAAUGCAUUGCAUCUGUUAGAAAAGUACACAAAGUGUUAUGAAUGGAUAAAAUUUAGUGGAGUGAGGAAAGGCCAAAAAUCCUAAUCCUACAUAUAUGAUAAAAAGCACUUUGGUUUCACCUAUGGGAUGCUUUUCGUCUGUCUCUCAAAGGCUUUGUUUAGUAAUUUUCUCUCUUGUCCAAAAGCACUUUGGUUUCACCUUUGGGAUGCUUUUCAUCCGUCUCUUAAAGGCUUCUUUUAGUAAUUUUCUCUCUUGUUCGAGCUAUUAACUGAGCUUGUGCUACACUCUUUGAAGCUAAGGUUGUUAGGUUGUAUUACUCAUUUGCCCUCUUCCGGCUAAUCUCAGCAUUUCUUUAGUUGCAUGUGAGUGGGGUUAGUUAGUUGCAUGUGGUGGUGGUUGUACUAACGCAGUGGUUUGCUUUUUCUUCUUUUAGUCAGAAUUGGUUUUUGCUUGUAGGGUAGUUGUGGUAGGAUAAAAUCUUCCAGAAAUGGCCAUGCAGUGGAGGUGUUUCAUGUUUCAUAGGAUACUUAUAUAAUUUUAGCUGAAUGCAACAUAAUUUUAGAUGAGCUAAAGGGAUAAAGCUGUCCAUUUGCCCUGUCUUGCUUGUUUAGUUGUUUAACUGCGGAGCUAAUUUUUUGCUAGAUUUCUGGCUUGUUACUUUUUCUCAUACCUGUUAGUUGAGUUAAAUAAUUCAUCAUGUAUUAUUGUCUUUUGUGUCUUCAGUUUUCUCUUGCGCUAAGAAGUUUGUUCUGGUCUUCUCUUGUGCUCAAACGGUUCAGACCUCUCAUUUGUUCACUGGUGGUUCUUCUAUUGGUUUAGGUAGGUAGCUUGUUAGCUAUUUUUUUGAGCUUUGUCAUCUGCAUCGGUUGCUUGGCUUUUUCUAUUGUUGUUCUUGUUUACUGAGUUCGCCUAUGUUUAUGUUUGUUGAAGCUUUUCCCUGCUUGCUUUGCUAUUUUCUUUUUUUUUGCUAUUGUAUUUUCCUUUUGUUGUUGUUAUUUUUUUUGGGCUAUUCUUGGCAUAUAGUAUGCCAUGCGUUAGAAAGCCUGGUGUUGAGAAUGAGCAAAAGAAUAAUCGUAGAUAGAAAGACAGGGAACGAUAUGCAAAUAUGCCUUCUAACAAGAAGGAUCUUAUGUUAGCAAAGAGGAGAGCUGCUUACCGUGAGAAAAAAAGGUCUAUGUCCAAGCCAACAUUAACUAUAUGUGAGCCUACCAUAGAUUCUUGUACAGGUAACAAUUUUGUGUGUUUUUCUAUUCCGUUUUGUUGUUAGUCAGCUAUUACAUUUGUGAUGCCACUCUGCUUAUGUGCCUUCGUUUGUCAGCAAGUGAUCAAUCAGUAGCUGACAAGCUAAAGCUUAAGAAUCACGUUUCUGUUUUCUCAGUUUAUGGUGUUAAACAAGCUUUGUUGCUAUUUAUGGUGUUCCACAUUUUCUUUAGGCAAAAACAUUUUUAAAUUUAUAUGCUAUGUGAUAGGUUCUGGCUCAAAAUCAAAGCCUAUUAAUAAUGGUUGUGAGUAGCUUAAUUGUUUGAAUUCAGGUAGUUAUCUAUGUAGCUUUGUCGUUGAGCUUCUAUUCUGUAUACUUCCUUGACCUUUCGCCCUGCAUGUUUUCUUAUGUGUUUGUCGAUUUUUUCCUUUAUAGAUCAGCCUCCCAUUUGUAAAAACUGCUACACAUUUCUUGUUGAGUCUUUGGAAGAUGUAUCAGGUUCAGUAUAGCAUCGCAUUUUUUUUUCUUUUAAACACUAAAUUCUCCAAUUUUCUGUUUCAUUUGGGGGCCAAUUCUAUAUUUCUAGGUCUCCCUUGCAUUAUAUCACAGCAGCCUGAAGCUGGCCAAACUUCUCAAUCUCAAAAACAUGGUUUGGCUGUCUUGUAAGCAAAAGUAUUUGUUAUGUAGCUUAUCUUUGUCCUUAAGUGUGUAUUUCGCAAUUAAGAGCUCUUCACAGCACCGGUGUAAUAGGCGUCUAGGCCGAAAUCAACCUAAAUAUAAAGGUAGCUUUUAAGACUAUCGCUGUCAAUGCGUGUUCAGUAUCGAUGUUUAGGAUACGUUUUCUUCUCUAUUCUCCUUAUUAGGUGAACGUAUUAUAAGACAAACUCAGCUAUUAUCGACUGUAAGUGAAGCUCCAGAUGAAUUGCCUGCAGUUCCGUCUUGUGGCUAUUGUCGUGCUAAGAGAUUCCAUUUUGAACCUCCCAACUUUUGUUGUUCCAAUAGGGAAGUUUUGCUCAAAGAAAACAAGUUAUCUGAUGUGCUGGUUGAAUUAUAUACCAAAACUAGCGAAGAAGCUAUUUGUUUCCGCGCAUAUGUUAGGACAUAUAAUAACUUAUUUGCUUUUACUUCUUUUGGUGUUGCAUAUGAUAAGGACUUAUGCAAAAGAAAUAAAGGUAUAUAUACCUUUAGAGUCCAAGGGCAGACAUAUCAUUUUAUUAAUGAGCUGAUUCUUCAUGGAAGAAAUGGGUUAUAUCUACAGCUUUACUUUCAUGACACUGAACAUGAGUUGGAGAACGGAAUGGCUUUUUCAAAUAAGUUUACCGAGUCAGUUGUUUCAAAAUUGAUGAAAGUCAUGGAAGCCAACCCAUAUGCCUGUUUCUUUAAAAGCUUAAGAAUUGUUCUAUAUUUGGAUUUGUAUCAGAUUGUGUUAAGGACUGACUGCCAGAAUGAUUAGAGAGUAUUCAAUAAGCGAUCCAUUUCAUAGAUAUCAGCUCUUGGGUUGAUGGUGAAGGUAUUGAACAAGGUUAUGCUAGACAUAUUAGAGUUUAAACUCAGCAGGGUCACAGCCAACACAUCCAAUACUAUUAUGGUUGCUAUGAUCUUCACCAAUAUCUGCUAUUGCAUCCAUUUGGUGAAACUAGUUGGCAUGUUGGUAUUAAGGGAUCUGAGAAUGGGAAUCUAAAGAAAAGAAAAGAAAUAUGAGGUCAAACAAGAAGCAUGUUACUGUCAAUCCAAAGAAAGCAAGGAAUGCUGAUGAAAUUAUUCAAAAUGAAGAGCAAGGUAAUGCAAAAAUAUCCCGCACAAUAAAUGUUCUUGCAUUUUUAUAACAUAGAAUGUUUUAUAGAAAUCAUACUAAAUCUAUUUGUUUGGUGCUGUUUUCUGAUAUUGUAGCUGUCCGUGAAGUAGAGAGCUUAAAAGAAUUUGUAUCUAUGCGCGAAUACUAUGCAUAUAAAUUCCAAAUGCGGCCUAAGAAUAGUCCAAACAUACUUAACACUGGCCGAGAACUGUUGCAAUAUGCAGUUAAUAUGUAUGUAAAGAUCGAAACACAAAGGCUUGACUUCUUCCGGAGCAAACAAAAGGAUAUCAGAACAGAAUUGCUGUAAGGUAUAAUGGAUUCUGUGUCUCAAGGUGAAUAUAGAGGUUAUCAAGUUGGUCAGCGUAUUGUGCUACCAGCUACAUUCAUCGGAGGCCCUUGAGACAUGAAGAGGCGGUACAUGGAUGCUAUGACUUUAGUUCAAAGGUUCAGAAAGCCAAAUCUUUUCUUAACUAUGACUUGCAACAGUUCAUGGAAAGAAAUUAAAGACCAUUUACUUCUAACUGAUGAAACAACCAACAUAUGUGAUUUACAUGCUCGAGUUUUUCAUUCUAAGUUGAAUGCAUUAAAAGAUGAACUUUUGAAAAAAGUGAUUUUCGGCAAGGUUGCUGCUUAUACUUAUAUGGUAGAAUUUCAAAAAAGAGGCCUGCCACAUGUGCAUUUUCUAAUUAUAUUGAAGCCUAAUUCCAAGCUAUAAUCAAUAGAUUCUUAUGACCAGAUUGUUUCAGUAGAGCUGCCAGAUAAAGAAAAGUAUCCUUACCUAUAUAAGAUGGUUAGAAAGCAUAUCAUGCAUGGCCCAUGCGGUGACGAUAACCCGAAUAAUGUGUGUAUGCACAAUGGAAAGUGCAAAAACAAAUAUCCUAAGGAAUUUGCUUCUAAAAUAGUUUACACAUUGAAUGGUUAUCCAAAGUACAGAAGAAGAGAUAAUGGCAGAUAUGUUAUUAUUCUUGAAAAAAACUUAGAUAAUAGGUGGGUUAUUCCAUAUAAUGCCUACUUAUUAGCUAAGUUUAAUUGCCAUAUAAACAUCGAGGUCUAUUCUACAAUUAAAAUUGUCAAAUAUAUGUACAAAUACAUAUAUAAAGUACAUAACAGAAUCAAGUUCCAAUUGAAUCUAGAUGAUAGCUCAACUGCUAUUGAUGAGAUUAAACAAUUUCAGUCAGCAAGAUGGGUAGGAACAACACAAGCUAUGUGGAGGAUAUACAGGUUUCCACUCUAUGAUAUGAAGCCAUCAAUAAUUCGUUUGCAACUGCAUCUAGAAAAAUUUCAGCCAUUGACUAUUGAUAAGUGUGUAAAUCUGAAAAAUGUGCUAAGAAAUCCAGUUGCCAAGCGCACAAUGCUCACUGAGUUCUUCAAAACAAACGCAAUAGAUGCCUAUGCCGAAUCUUUAAAAUGUACUUAUACUGAGUUUCCAGAGCAUUAUGUUUGGAUUCCUAAAUAUAGAGCAUGGGAAAAAAGAAAACAAAAGGGUGUUGUCGAAAGGAUAGUUACAACAAAUCCAAGUGAAGGCGAAAGAUAUUUUUUGUGACUAUUGUUGCUGAAUGUAAGAGCUCCUAAAUCUUUCGAUGAUUUGAAGAUAGUUACUGGUGUUUGUGUUGAUACAUUCCGUGAAGCUGCAAUAAUAAGGGGACUUUUUGAAAGCGAUAAUCCACCAGAACAGUGCCUUCAAGAGACAUCAGUCUAUGGUAUGCCGUAUGCUCUGCGAAGAUUAUUUGCUACCAUCUUAGUGUUCUUUCCUCCUGUGAAUGCAAAGCAGCUAUGGCAAAAAUUUGAAGAAUCUAUGUCUGAAGACUUUUGCAGAAUUCCAGGUCUAUUGCCUAAAGAGAUUCAGUACAGAGUGUUGAAGCAUAAAAAUGAUGUAAUGGUGUCAAUGGGUAAAAAUAUAAACAACUUUGGCUUAGUCCCAAGAAUUCUGAAAUUCUAUCAUUUAGAUGUGAAACAAGAGACACAGCAAGUGAAAUGCAAAUUAGAGUAACUGAUGAUGAAUUAGCAGCAAUUCAGUUACUGAAUUUUGAUAAAAAAAUUGCCUUUGAUACUAUACUCGAAACUGUUUAUGUACACAAAUAAGAAUGUUUCUUUGUCGAUGUCCCUCAUGGUACUGGAAAAACUUUUUUGUAUAAAGCUCUUUUAGCUGAGAUCUGAUCAAAAGGAGAUAUUGAUCUUGCUAUAGCGAGUUGCGGAGUAGUUGCAUCAAUUCUCCCAGGCGGCAGAACAGCACAUUUGAUUUAAGAUUCCAAUAGACAUUGAUGAAACAAAUAUUUGUAGAAUUGGUAAGCAAAUAGUUUUGGCAAAACUUCUCUAGCAAGCAAAACUGAUUAUUUGGAACGAGGCAUCGAUGGCAAAUACAAUUUGCAGUGAGCUAGUAAAUGAUCUGCUAAAGGAUGUGAUGGAGUCCCAAGAACUCUUCGGCUCCAAAAUUAUUGGUUUUGGUGGAGAUUUUAGGCAAGUUUUGCCAGUUAUUACUAAUGGAGGAAAGAAUGACUUUGUUGAGUGCAAAAUCAGAUCCAUCUUUCAUGGACUACCUGCUUUCUAUAGGAAAUGAAACACAAAAAAAAUUCACAAUGAUUAGAUCAAGAUUUUAGAUUCUUUUUUGAUUCCCUAUCAAGAUGAAAACAUUUCUCUAUCAGAUAUUAUUUCUGCAGUUUAUCCAUCUUUUGACGAUUUUUAUCAAAGUGAUCUGCCAACUCUAAAUAAAGCUAUCGUGAAAACAAAAAAUGAUUUUGUUGAUUAUAUUAACUCGACUCUCAUACAACAGUUUCUUGGUGAUGCUUCUGAAUACAUAAGUACAGAUAGGGCUCUUGAUGUUUGUGAUCAAGCUACAUAUGCAGACUUUUUAAAUAGUUUGACUCUGAGUGGUUUUCCGCCUCAUCACUUAGAGCUGAAAUGAAAUUGUCUUGUAAUGUUGCUUAGAAAUAUUGAUCCAUCGGAAGGCCUAUGUAAUGGUACUAGGCUUAUUAUCAAAUCUUUUAGAACUAAUGUUAUAGAUAUAGUAAUUAGUAGUGGUGAAUUUGUAGGAAAACAGGUGUUCUUGCAUAGAAUUCAGUUCAGAAUCUCUGCUGAUAGUAACUGUCCUAUCCCUUUUGAGAGAACCCAAUUUCCUGUUAGACUAUGUUUUGCAAUGACUAUAAAUAAGACUCAAGGCCAUACAUUAGAUUUUGUUGAUAUUUACUUGCGUAAACCUAUUUUUACAUGGUCAAUUAUAUGUUGCUCUAUCUAGAGCAAAAAAUGCUAACUCAGUGAAGAUUCUAAUUAAGCCUCUCUUUUGUGAUAGUGAUCAAUACAAUUUGACAAAAAAAUGUUGUUUAUCAAAAAGUCCUAGAGCUACCAACAGAGCAAUAAUUUCUUCUGUUAGUUUUCUUCAUAUAAUUUCUUUCGCAAUCUGUUGGAUUGCAUGUAAAGACUGAUGCAACUAGAUAAGUCUUCUCAUCUGUAUCUUCACAUGUGGUUACCUAUGUUGUUAGGCGUCUCAUGGAGCGACCAACGUUACCAAUUGCUGAAAUCAAAGCCAAGCAGCAAGGGUAGACGUGCCUAAUAUAGGUUGCAGAAAAACAAAGGCGUGCUUUAUCAUAGUCCAGAAAACCAGUCAGAUACCAGAAAAUGACUUUGAUUGAUGAACAGGUAUAAAGGGUUAUAUUUAUUUAUUUACAACAACUUUUUAUUAAUUUUAUCUAAUGUCGAGAUAUAUGUAUUCGAUUUAUAUUUGAAAGGAAACUAAAGUGCAGACACUCAUCUAUGGAACUGAUAUUCAGUUUUUUCGUAAGCAUUUUGAGAUGUAUAUGCGCUACUAUGUGUCGAAUGCAAAAGUCAUGCCAGUUCUUCAAAAGCAUAAGACUCGUGAAGGAGAAUGUACAUGAACCAUCGACAACUCUACUAUUGUUGAGCCAAUCAAUGAAUCAGAACCACCUUUGUUGCCUUCACUCUAUGCUUUUACGCUGUUUAACAAAAUCUAUGACCACAUUGAUGAUAAUUCACAAAUUCGUAACUAAUUAUUAGCUUAACUCUCUAUCAUUUACUUAUUAAGCUUGUCUAUUAAUGUUCUUUUUUGCAUAGAUGUGUUUGGCAUUGUUGUUCAUGUUCUGCCAAAAAAAGGAGCGCAAAAUUCUCAAUCAAACAAGAGACAAAUAGUUAUUUUUUGCCAAUGGUAUAGCCUAUAAUAAAUUACUUCCUCUAUUAGCCCUCUGAAUAUCUUCACACAUAAAGUAUUUUCAUGAGCAUUCUUUAAAUGGCAUUUUCAGCUGUAUUCCCAUCACUUAUACUCUCUGGGAUGACUAUGACAUUCACGAAGGUAGUGCAAUAGCUGAGAUUCUCAACACAAAAUCGUGCAUUGCUGGGAUUAGGCUCAAAGCAACUUCUUUUAGGAGUAAGAGAAACAAUAUACUAUAAUUAUACAGAGAUAAUAUAACCAUUCAAUAAUGGGACUUAUUACUCUCUUAUUGCACUAUCUAGCUAUCAAUGUGCAAACAAAAUUUAGUUCAUCUAUACUGAUUAAUUUGCCAUUACCAGAACCUGUUGCGCUUUGCAAUUGGUAAUAAACUAUUACAGUCUUAUUCUUUUCCUGACAAUUAUUGCAAUACACCUGAUCCUUAUUCUUACAACUUUUUAAGCAUUCCUUUCUUAUACCUGCUUGUUCUAAUUUUGGUAUAAUGAAGAGAAAGAAAAAAUUCAGAGACUGAUUUUUGCUGAAGCAUAUGCAAAUAGAGAAUUUCUUCUUCCUAUGUCACUAGCUGCUGAUAUCAAACUAUAGAUGAUUUGCUUUCACUACUAGAAGUAUAACAAUAAGAACCUCUUUCAUUACUGCUACCAAAUCCUCUUUUGCUGACCAUUAGUUCUCUUUUAUAUCGUUUCAGUUAUGUAUCUUAUAUAUUGUAGAAAAAAGAAAUAUGAAUACAAGGAAUUCCUCACUUGUUGGAUAGAAGUUAAAAGCUUUGGUAUUAUACUUGUCCUUUCUCUCAUAAGUCUCUCCGAGCAAAUGAAGAGUGGUAGGUGCCAUGCAUGUCUUGCAACAAAACUAUUCGUGUAGAACCCAUGUUAGCUUGCUUUUCCCCCUGAAAUAGAAUUACAAUCUAUGCUCACUUUUUUUGCUACUAAGAAGAUUUGUUGUAAGAAGAAGAAUUUUGCUUUAACAUCCCUUUUUUAUUGCAGGAGUCGAAUGAGUAUUCAGUUGAAAGACUAUUCUGCUGAAGUCAAACUCAAUCUGUAUGGUGAAGACAUACAAAAAAUACUUCCAUACACGGCAGAAGAAUUGAAAUCUCAGUAGCAAGCGUUGAGCAUGCAUUUCUAUUAAUAACCGAAUACCACCAUUAAAAAAAUAGCUCUUCUUAUCUGAUAUCAUGCUUUCUUUUCUGUUCAGGAAACUAUUUCAUAUGAAGCUAUAUAAGGGAUGAUGAACAAGAACAUCACUACUUGUUUUGUCAAAAAAAACUUCCAACUUCUACGAAUCAUCUGGAACUGAUGAAUUCGCUGCAAUCAUUGCUUAUACUAGUCUUGAUAUCAAUGAAGAUAUGCUCAAUGCUUUCAUGACUGGUCAUUCUCCAGUUACAUCUAAUGCAGCUAACAAUACACAACCUGAUUUUUUAGAAACCUUAGCAAAUGCCAAGGCCAUUGCAUCAUCAAACAUGCUUUCUACUCCUACUAAAUCAGAAACUCAGCCAACUACUAUUUCUCGACAGUCAAAGAAAGGCAGAUGUAGCAGUAAUCAAACUAAGUCAGUCACGGCUCUGAAAGCAGUAGAAAGCUUUUCAAAGAAACCACGCAAUGAAUAACAAAUUUCAUGUGCCUCAGUAGCUUUUGUUCUCAGUUUUUUGAGAGAUAAAAACUCUUUGUUGAUAAACCAAUGCAAGCAAUCAACAGUCUGUUAACUUGUCUAAGUUAUCUAUUUUGGUUCAACUUACAGAGAAUAUAUUCCAUGCAUAAAACUAUAAUUUUGUUUAAUAUGAUAGCAUGGAAUAUAAUUUCUAGUUCAGUGCUAUGAAUGUGUCUUUUUUUUCAAAUUUUAAGCUUGUUAUCAUUUCAUCUCUUUGCUCUUUUGCAUUCAAUCUUUUCUUUGUUCCAUUAAAACUAUGAAAUCUACCCCAUUAUAGUCUAAACAUGCUGAGGCGAAAACCUAUAUACUGAACUAAAUGAUUGUUAUCACUCUUUAUUCUCUGUAGACUUAUCCCUUAAAAAAUCCAAAAUAUAUGUUGUCUUUACAUUUUUACCAAACAUUUGUAUUAAUGCACAAAAUAGAUAUCAUAGUACACACAGUUUACAAGUUUCGUAUACUAUUGUCCUAUUUUACACUUCUAAAUCUAUUGAAAACUAAUAAAGUUGUCCACAAAUAUGAAUACUGAAUCACCAUUCAUCUAUACAUUCAUUAACUACUCUCUGCAUUUGUUAACUAUUUCUCUACUGACUAUCAACUUCUUGCUCUGACAUUGAGUAACAAGUCUGGAAAAUGCAAACUUGUCUGAUUAAUAAAAAGAUCAUAAUGUACUCACAGUACUGUAUUAUAAUCAAACAUAUUCAUUCACUCAUUUUCAUUCUCUGCUUAUACUCAUAUCUACUUUUUAAAUUUCCCUUUUCUCCUUAUUGUUUUGCUCAAACUUCAUGCUACUGAAUCCAGUUUAACAGAUAUUCACACUAAUGAUAACUCUGGAUCUUACUGAUAUCAAUUGCUACACAGCUAACUGGACAGCUGUGAUUCAAGUAAUUGAAGCCACUCAUAUCUUUACUACAAAACAGUUCUCAAAUGAAAAGAUGUAUCGAAGAUUUUUGCUUGCUAACUCACAGGUCUAUCCUAUACAAAAUCGCUUUACCUUAACAACUACUAUUCUGAAUGCCAAGUCUUCUGAAUUUUUGGCAUAAUUGUUACUAUUUACAGGAAAUCAAGGUCCAAGCAAUUAUUACAGAUGCUGUCAUACCUCUUGUUAAUUACUUAUUGUUGCCCUGUAAAAGAUACUUAAUUUCAAGUGCAUUAGUUCGUUUAAAUCGACAAGCAUGCUCUGUUGGAGAUUACCCAUAUUAUUGGAUUCUUGGUCCUACAACUCUCAUUCAAGAAAUCAAUGGCUUUGAAGACCCAAAAUUUUCACCAUACUUGACAUUGGACACUUUUUCUUCCCUCCAAAAUCAUGCUGAUAUUGAUAGAUAUAUGAGUACUUUGUCAUUCUUUUCAUUUCCUUUAUAUUAUUGCUGUAAACAUAUGGUUCAUACAAAUUUAACAAAGUUUAUUGAAGAUACACUUGGAAUCAUUAUUUAUGCCAUGCUAAUUAGAGAAAUCCAAGUUCAAGAACAACAGUUUCGAUCAAGAGACUAUAUAAUUGUUAACCAAGAGUAAGUAGUCUCAGUAACUAAAAUACUCAUCAAUUUACCUUAUAAGUAAUAACAGACCCUUAACACUCUCAUGUUGCACUUGGUCAGGAAAAAACCAAUUAUCAUAACAAUGCAUGAUGACUUUCAAAGAAAUGAAGGAGUUUUGAUAACCUGAAGAGCAGAGACAUCUGUCAUCUUAGCAAUGAGAAUGAGAACAACUACAAAAAACUGUAACAUUUCUAGCAUAUAUGUUUUCUAAACCUUAUAUUAAUUCACUUGAUGCUCAUCCAUAGUUGUUUCUUUUUUUUUUUUUGCAAACUAUAGACCUAUCUCUGGAAAUGCAGCCAUUAUAUGUUAUUAUGCUUGACCCUCCUGUUCAAGAAAUAGUCCAAAUAAUUCACUGGUACCUACAAGUUUAGCUUUAAUUUAUUGUACACUAUCAAUCAGAUCCUUUCUUAACAAAAACUUCUACAGGUUUCACAAUAAUCUUUUAGCUCUAAACAACAUGAUUCAUGAAAGAAAAUUUACUGAUCCUCCUACUCUUCUUCCUCCAGUAAAAGACACUGAACUAACUACAAUUGAAGCACUACUUAGACAUCCAAAAUUCAUAAGAGUUUCACCAUCUUAUCUUAUUCUUUUGCGCAUAAGAUGAAUAUAUAACUAUUAUAUAUGUAGCUCAAUACAUUUAACCACAAUAUCAUAAACAAACAGUAUGUGUGAGAACCCGAAAAUUUUCACAUUUUCUAAGCAUUAUUUUAUUCCUUGCCUACAUUUUUAUAUUGCCCUUUUUACAUAUUGAAGUUUCUAUGCAUUUUUAUAAGUAAGUACAAUUUUAAAUCAUUUUCCUAGUAUAAGUUAGUGUACGUUAAAUUUGAAGUGUAUUAUAGACGUGGGACCCGCUAGUGCGAUAAAAUUUUGGUGACUAAGUGAUUUUUGUGUAAAGCGAUAUUAUUUUAUAAGGUGCUACGAGAUGAUAAGAGGUUAGCUAGAUAGACUAACCAUUGGGAGAAGGAAGAUAAGCUUAAAACAUUCAAGGUGCCACGUGUCGCGAACCGAUUGGAAGUUGGACUUUGACCUAAUUCUUACCUUUACUAAAUAUCAAAUUUUGACCAAUUUCUUUCCAUUUUUCCUUGUUCUUGGCCGGCCCUCUAGAGAGAAAAAACAAGAGAGACUACUUCAAUUUCUAGCUUCCAACCUUGCUUGAAUCUUGAGUUCUAACCAACCAAAUUGGAAACUACUCCAGACAAAUGCUCAUUAAGGAGGUUUAAAGGUUUUGAUAAAGUUAUUUUGGAGGAGGAAGGUCUAAGCUACCAUUUUUCCUUGUGGUCAUAAGGUAUAUUGUCAAGAAAAUCCUUCUUUACUUCUAGUAAUUGCAUAUUACUGGUUUAGAAAUGAGAAAUAUGUAGUUUUAUGAGGAAUAUUGUGAUUUGAAGUAAUGAUUGAGGAAUUUUCAGUUUUCUUAGAGAAUUUUCUGCCCUCAUGUGAUGAUUAAUGGUUGGCCUUGAUUUACUAGCUUUGAUAUGUGAAAAAUCUAGUGAUUUAGUGUUAGUUUCAUUUGCCUAAAAAAAUUUUCCAGCUUAUGUGCACAAUUCCAGCUUUAAGUUUUUGUACCACCCUGUUCUGACCAGUUUCAUUCGGCCAUGAUGGAGAUCAAAUUGGGCUUAGCUUAAAACAUGAAAGUUGCAGGAAAUAAUUUUUAUAGCUGCCUAUAAAAUUUCAUCUCAAUCGGAGCACUGUAGCUUGUGAAAUGACCGAAAUACCCUUGACUGCCCACAAGCCUUGUUUCACGGACAGUUUUCUGUCCUUUCUGAGAUUUUGAUUUUUGACCAUGAAAAUGCUUGAUUUGGAUUUGGAGGUCUUCAUAAGGAGUGUAGGUAUAUAUCUUGGCUUCGAAACGCCAUAAGAUUCGUUUCAAUCCAAUAAGUGUAGCUUCAGUUGUGAUUGUUAUGCCGAAAGGUGUGUUUUAUCGCCUAUGAUUUGUAUGUGAAAUUGUGGUUGGUUUAAGAUGAGAUUUGGUGUUUGAUUGUAGAGUGGAAAGUAAAGAAAUUAAGGGGAAAUGCUGUCCGUUUAUUUUCCUGCAAUUUGAGUGAGUAAAAGUGAUAUUGGAAAUGUGAUUUUGUGAUGCAUUGGACUUACUUUUCUUAGACAUACUUAGGUCCACUCUAGUGGUGUUAGAUGAGUUAAAGUUUACUUGAACUUAUACAUUUUCGCAUGGUGAAUGUGACGACUAUUUUAAACAUGAUACUUAGUUGCAAAUGUCUAGUUUUGAACUUCAAAUGUUUACUCAUUUCCUUUCCAAAGCAAAGAAGAGUUGCAUAGGGUUUCUCAACCGCAAAACCUAAUUUUAUCAAGCGAGGCUUUGGGUGUGAAUUUAGGGUUUGUUUAUCUUUCUUUUUCAUAUGAUUUUACUCAAAACACUUGUUAUACGUUGUUUCUUUGCAUAUGUGUUAGUUUCGAGCCAAACAAAGAGCUUUACGAAAAAUUGAACAAAACUAUUUUUCAUAUCCGGCCAGGUUCUGGCUAGAUUCAGACGUGGCACUGUUUCAUUUGUUUUCCGAUGGAAUUUUCUAAAAACCUUUUGAGUAUAGUUUUGUGUUGGGUUUGGGAACCUUUUAGUUACUCAUGCUCUUUGAUCUAAAUGUACUCUUUUUACUUCAAAAAUCAUAUUUGUACAUUGUACUAGUAGGUAUUCGGAUUUCCUUUGAUUCACCUAAAAUUUUGAUGGUUGAAGCAUAAUGUGUUUUCUUGGUUACUCUUAGGGUUUCUUGGUGAUUGAGGGUAUUAUCCGAAAGAAAACUUUGGACGUUAUUUUGCUUAAAUAGGUGAGUGUUCUUUGUACGUUAUGUUUUCUAUGACUACGUGGAUUGCUGUGACUAUGUGACUAUUGAUGAAUAUUUGAUUAAAUGUUAAAUGUUUUCAAUGAUUUCUAAAAAUAAAUUUUACUAGGCGAGUGUGUACUUUAUCGCACUCAACCUAAAUGAAUGUGAAAUUUACAACGAUUAAAUGAUUAAAUAUUUAAAUACUACUUGUACAUGAAUGUAAGUCUUUUUGGCUGAACUGGGCCCUUGCUCUUUGUUGCCAGUCGACUCGAGCCAGAAGCGGACUCGGUCGGGCGAUUGGUGACCUUGGGUUAAUGUUUGGUAUACUCGAGUAUGACCACGAAGAUUGGUGGAGACUGGCCAAUGUCCAGUAGGGGGAAAAUGAAAUGAAUGAAUGAAUGGCAAAAACAAUGGAGGGGUUUUCACUUACAAAUGAAAUUAUUUUUAAUGCUGGACGAAUAAAGAAAUGGUUGGUGGAAUGAAUGAACGAAGGACUCCAUGUGAGCAUGUAUCCUUUUAAUGAAUGUAUUAUCACUACUUUAUAUUGUAAAUGUUUUCUGGAUUACUUGUUAUUAUAUGAUUAAUGUCUUUGUUUGAUUAUUUGGCUAUAUGUAUGGAACCUCAUUGGGCUUUUAUUUCAUUCCAUUAGUUUUGUUUUCCUUACAGGGGUUGUGAGCGAGGGCGUGAGAUUUGUGCAGACUAGCCUGGACUAGUUCUUUUGAAUUUUAUUUUUUCAAAUUUUCUCGCGCUAGUGCUCGGAUAGGAUUGGAUGUAUUGAGAAUUUAAAUCUUUUGUUAUAUUUGGGACUGUAUAUUUGGUUAAGAUUGAAAUGAAUGUAAGUAUACGUUUCAAGUUUGGAAAUUGUUAUUUCACUUUUCCUCGAGAUUAUAUCUUAUUUUGGUUUGAAGAGAGUGAACGAGUCCUGGCAAGAGUUGUGCAGGCUGCCCGCCGAACCCUUUGGUUCGUCUUAGGGGAAGGUGGGGCUGUCACAGUAUGGAUUAAAGGAUAGGUUCAAAUCAACUAUUAUCGAUCAACAUUUUUAUAUUCUGCCUGUCCUUACUGCCAUGAACCUGAUGAGUUUACAGCAACAUGGGGCCUUAAAUAUCAAUCCUGUCAUGCAGAAAUGAAUCUUGUGCCAAUGUAAAUCAUACAUAUAUUUAUUCAGCAACUCUUAUAAUUUAAUUUCACAUAUAUGAUAUUUACUUGCAUAACAAUUUCAACAACUAUCAAUGCAGAAUAUGUGUUCCACUAAUAAUAAUUGAUCAUACUAACCAACUGCAUGCUAUUGCUUUGGGAGAAGAAGCCUAGAAAUUGAUGACCAUAACUGUAUUCAACUUCAAGAGGCUAACAACGAGGUAUAUUUUGCAAAAAAAAAAAAAUGUUUCACCUAACAUAGCAUUCGCUUAUAUUUAUUCGCUUACAACUAAUAAUAAACAGGACUUUACCCUGUUCCAUCAUAUACCUCAAGCCCUUCAAGGAAAGACAUUGCUAUGCUAUGUCAAAAAAUCAAGCUCAUAAAUCAGAUUAAUGAAAAGAACAAACCACACUAUAGUAACUGCGUACAAUACUGAAGAUCUUGCCAUUGACAAUCACUCUUGAAAUAGCUCUUUUCUAUAUGCUUUCUUUUGUUCGUGAUUGCAGAUGUACACUACUUUCUAUUUUGUUUACCAGCACCACAUCUGCACUACAUACAAGUUGUACUUUUUCCCUGUCUACUGUAUGAAUGCUAGAUUAUGUCUUUUAUGAUCGAAUUUCCAUUUAUGACUUAAUGAACACAUGUAUAAUUUAACUAACAUAACAAUAAUGCAUUCAUAUAUUACAUCUGCGCUAAUAAAACUCACAACCAUUCUCGUUAUCAAAUCUAUCAAACAAAAGAAAACUGAUAAACAAACAACAUAAUGAUACAUUAGAAUAUCACUCAAUAAUACUCUCAAUCACUGUCACUAACGGAACUAACAAAUGAAGGAGAACUAGGAGAAUGCGCUGAUUCCUCUGCUAUCUCAUCCUUCAUUGUUCUAGCAAUUAAUUCCAGCAUAGGCAAAUAUCGACCAUUCUUCAUAGCAUUGUCCAAUACAGGCGCCCAAUCACCAUGCUUGUAAAAAGUCUUAAACAGAUCAUAAACUUCAUUUUUCAGCAAAAUACUAUUUGCUUGAGCUCGAGCAAGAGGUUCAGCAGGUCUAUUCCGACAACUAUCUCCCAUAGGAAAACAAGCACCCUUAAUAAUUGUUAACCUAUUCAGUGCAUCUUCCAGAUCUGGAUAAUCAUCUCAACAUUUGGAAAUCUUCUAUUAGCAGCUGCCAUCUACAAAUUUUUUUUAAAAAAAAGGAGAAGAAGAUAAAAAGAAGGUCCUAGACAUAGAAAAACAUAUGCACAUAAAACAUGCGCUUAUAUUCUCACAGAUGCAACAAAACAAAAAGCAACUGUGCUCAUGUGAACCCAUUGUAUUUCCUUGCAUCUUAGAAUAUGUACAUUUACGCAUAUAUGUGUCUGUAAUGCACAUUUUGAAGCUACAUUAUCAAAAAAUGUUAAAAUUAGUGCUCCACAACAUGACAACAAAGUUUCUUGCACCCUUUUUGUUUCACAAAAUAUUACAUACCAUCUUAACAUACACAGAACAUAAUUAUUCUUGCAAGUCAUAAUUUUAUCAUAUUCCAAUUAAAUAAUAACUAAUAAAAAUACAGCUAAUCAUUCUUUUUUAUUGGGAAUUUAGUGUACCAUUUUCAAAAUUUUGAAAAAUCUUUUUUCGCCUCAAUUUCCACUAAACAAGAUUAAUUUUUCACAUUCUACUCUAAAUAAUUAUAUAAAAAAAAUUAGAACAGAAUACUUAAGUCAUAACAGGCACCCAACUCCACAUCUUGCAUGGAGCUGUGUCCUAGUACUAAAACUUAGAUGGGAUUUACAAACCUUAAUGGAAGAACUCAUCUAUAACCCCAAGAACCUUAAAAAACAUGUUUUUAUCAAUUGCAGUUUGUCCCUUAAAAUCAUUUUAUAAGCAAUUUGCCCCAAUAGUCAACAAACCUAGGUAAUUUCCCAUCCAGUAGCAUGACAUAAAUUCUUUCAUGCCAUUCUAUUAUCAAGCUCAUAAAUAAUUUGCCCUUCCUUUCCCACUUUUCUUUUCUUUUUCAAAUUUUCAUCUCUUGUGGACAUACCAUUAUUCUUUCAACUAGUAAUGGUGACAUGCUCGAUGCAUGUGCCGCGCCAUAUGAUAGAUGUCGAGUUUGGGCAAUAAUAAGGUUCUAUUCAUGAAAAUAUAUAAUUGAAUGUGAUAAUAAGUAGGGUCGUCUCCACAAAGAUUGGAAAAUUUUAUUUGCUUUCAAGCAAAAGCUAAUUUUGGGGGGGGGGGUUUCGAAGAAUUAGGAUUGAUCGAAUUUAGAAAAAGCAAAUAACUAAAGAAAAUAAAUUAAAAUUAACCAAUAAUUAGUGAGCUCUAGCCAAGGUAAAACUUCAGAAGUGGUUCACACAACUACUCAUCGAUAUAAUGAUAAUUUCAUUUACUCAUUAAUAAACAGAUUAUAAUUGCCAACAAGUUCCAAUAAUCAAUUUUUUCUUAUUGUGUCGAUAGUUAAGGUAUAAUCAUUAAUUAUUUUCCUAAUCAGGAAAUAACCUUAAGUACGACCAUAGGAUUCAAUUUUCUAAUUGUUUUAAAAAUUAGAAAAGUCCUGCUCUAACCAAUAAAUAAGUUAUGAGGGUUUAUUUAAAUUAGAUCGUAUGUUUCCCUGAUACAAAUCCAAUCAAUUCAGUUACUACUAAUUUAAGGCAAUCAAAUAAUUACGGAUUUAGUCGUCUUAAUUGGUAGUAGGUUGUUAAAAAUCGGACUCUUGAUAUUCAAACAACAAAAUAACUAUGAGAAAUUAAAUUAGAAAACAUAUGGAUAUCAAUGAAUAAAAGAAAUUAAUAAAUUCAAUUCGAUCUCACAGUUGUAAUUAUUCUAAAUCUUCCGUUGUCCCUUGACUAGAAAGAGGAAAUUAGUUGUUUCUCAUUGAGAAUUAUCCAUGCCAAAAAGAUGAGAAAAGUUACAAGAGCCGCUCCUUUCAGAGUUUUUCAAAAGUCGAUGCCUUUUCUCCCAAGAAGAAGAGGAAUAAUAAUGACUCCACUCUUCUCAUGUUUUUUUCUCUUUCCUUUGUUACCUAUCACCAUCCUAAUUCUUCUAGGAAAAGGUAUUCUAAAAGCUAAAUAAGAUAAACUAUUUCCUAAGACAAGUGAAAGGCUAAUCAUCUGCGAAAAAGAAAUUUGAUUCCAACAAUUUCAACUCGGACUUGGCGACUUUCACGCAUGCGAGUCUCGAGCUUCCCGGACUUGAAGACUGGAUUUACAUGUGCCUACGCUGAACUGAUUAAGAGUCUUUUGUUAGAAAAUCUCUGCAUUUUACCUCUUUUUACUUUUUUCAUUCCAAAGUCCUACAAUCAGCACCAAAUAUCAAAUAGAAGUAGAAUCAAUCAAUUAAUGCAAUAUUUGGCCUAAAAUCAAGGAAAAAUACUCACAAAUUUACUAUUAAUAUAUACUCUAUCAAUUUCUCCCACACCUAAACUAUGUUUGUCCUUAAGCAUACCAUAACUCAAAGGCACAAUCAAGAGAGUAAGUAUUUCGUAGCAAAUCAUACCAGCAUAAAUAUCCCACCCUUCCAACAACUUUAUUAAAAUCCGAAUACACCAAAUUCUACAAUCCUCACAAGGAAUUUAACAUAUGCACUCAUUAAUCUAAAGUGUACGGGGUAAAGUACAACUCUCAAAUUGACACUAUGGAGUGACAUUACCAUAAAUUUACUCAUAUAUCAUAUCUCCACUACUAAUAGUGAAUUUAACACAAGAAUCCAAGGAAUUUUUAUAAGAUUGUAACAGGGUUUUGGGCAAGGGUAGGAUAAAAAAGUAAAUUCAAGGUGUAAACACAUAAAAAAGAAUGCCAAAACGCCACUGCAUAAAUCCAACUACCAAAUUCACAUAAAUUCACAUUUUCAAGGUAAAAAUAAUUAAUCUUGAACCACAGAAUUGAGAACCCAACAAUUCAACCAAGCAAAAAUAAUCUCCAAUAAUUUCUAGAUCAUCAACCCAACAACAAUGGAGAAUUAACUCGCAACUUAUUAAUAAUCCUCCAAGUUGCUCUGACAAAUUCUUGUAGAUUUGGAGAUAACAGCAGAAAGAAGAGCAGCAGCGGCAACUGGAGAAGAUGGACAAUGGCAGAGUGGCAUCCAACCAUAGUGGUGGAUUGUCAGAAUGACAAUAGCGAUCAGCGACUCAAUUGGACUAAUGACCAACAGAGAUUAAACAGCGAUGAUCGGUGGACUGGAAAAAGGAUAUCUGGCAGCAGCAGAAUAGUGAAUGACGAUUGGCAACUUAGAACGGAGAUGGCAAUGCGUUGACCGAGAAGUUAGGCUCAAGAUCGAGUAGUGGCCGAUGUUUGAACAGCAAAGGCAAGCAACAAACUGCAUUUAGGCAAAGAUUGCAGACAAUCUAGACAUGGGCAUGCCCAAAAUAUGUAGAAUCUUUUGGUCAAAAUUUUUAAGUAUUGCCAAACUACAACAUGAUUCAAAGGCAUGGGCAUGGCAUGUUGACCCGUAAGUUUUUUGGAAUUUCUGAACUUUGAAAAUAAUACAUCAUUUAGUUUGGCGCGGGCGCACCUUGUCUGGUAAUAGUCUUCUGUCCACUAAAAUAACAAAAUCAUAAUAAAAUGCAUGAGACACAAGAAACCUAAAAUAAAUGUAAUAAAAAUAAACUAAAAAUGAAUUGAGUUGCCUCCCAAUAAGCGCCUUUGUUUAAUGUCUUUGACUAGACAUGACCAUAUAUCCUCAAUUAGUGUAGAUAGGAUCGUCGAGGUGCAUUAGCUCCAUUGCUGCCACCUGAAACCCUUCAUUAUAAGGCUUGAGAUGAUGCUCGCUUACUACAAACUUUUUUUUUCUAUCUUUAACUUUGAAUUUCUACAGCACCAUAAUGGAAGACAUUAAUGACUACAAAAGAACCAAUCCAACGAGAACACAACUUACCUAAAAAAAACUUAAGUCUGGAAUGAUAGAGAAGGACUUUUUAUCCAACGGCAAAUUUCUUCCUAGAAACUUGUUGGUCAUGGAAAACCUUACUCUUCUCCUUAUAAAUCAUUGCAUUCUCAUAAGUCUUAUUCCUUAAUUCCUCCAACUCUUGCAAUUGUAGUUUCCUAUGCACUCCGACUUCAUCAAGGUCCAUAUGACACUGCUUGAUCGUCCAAAGUACCUUAUGCUGGAAUUCAACUAAAAGAUAGCAUAACUUGCCAAAUACUAGCCUAUAGGAGGAUAUCCCAAUAGGCGUCUUCUAUACAGUCUUAAAAGCUCAUAACACAUCCUCCAAUCUUGAACUCCAAUCCUUUCUAUUAGGACGAACCAUUUUUUUUCUAGAGUAGACUUAAUUCUUUAUUUGCAAUUUCGGCUUGACCAUUCGUUUGAGAGUGAUAGGAUGUUGAAACUUUGUAGAUAACACCAUAUUUCCUGAAUAAAAUAGCAAUUGUCCUAUUGCAGAAAUGUGUCCCUCUAUCACUUACCAUGGCUCUUGACAUUCCAAAACGUACAAAAAUAUGGGACCUUAUAAAAAUCUACAACUACCUUUCAAUCCUUAGUCUAGGUGGCUUUUGCUUCCACCUAUUUCGAAACAUAGUCCACUGCUAAUAAAAUAUAGAGAAAACCAAAUGAUAAAGGGAAAGACCCCAUAAAGUCGAUGCCCCAAAUAUAAAAAAUUUCACAAAAAAGUAUGAGGGUUUGUGGCAUCUAAUCUCUACGAAAAAUAUUACUAACCCUCUGUCACUUAUCACAAGACUUAUAGAAUAAGUAGGCAUCUUUAAAUAAAGUUGGCCAGUAGAAACCACUCUCCAAUAUCUUGCGAGUUGUUAUUUUUGGUCAAAAGUGGCCUCCACAUGCAAAAGAGUGACAAAAGGUCAAAAUAGAAUAGAAUUUACUUUCACUUACACACCUCCACACUAUCUCCAAAGGUCAGGACCAUCCCAUGUGUAAUAUUUUGUGUUGCUCUUGAGUUUGUCUCUUUUAGCCUUUGACCAAUUUACAAGUAAUUGAUGACUAACCAAGUAAUUGACAAUACCAGCAUGUCAAGGCAUAGAUGAAUUUGUAGAAAGUGGUUGCUUUUCAGGAAAAGUCUCUUUUAGUGGAAAAUCCUCUCUAGCAUUGGGCAGUCGACUCAAAUGAUCAGCAACCAAAAUUUCUGCCCCUCUCUUAUCUUUGAUUUUCAAAUCAAAUUCUUGUAGAAGCAGAAUCCAUCUAAUUAGCCUAGGUUUAGCAUCCUUCGUGGUCAACAAAUAUUGCAACACUUCAUGAUUAGAGUAAACAAUUACUUUGGCUCCUAACAAAUAUGAUCGUAAUUUUUCUAAAGCAUAAAUAACAGUUAAAAGCUCUUUUUCUAUAGUUGAGUAAUUCAAUUGAGUUCAAUUCAAAACUCUCAAGGCAUAGUAAAUUACAUGGGCAACUCUUCCCAUUUACUAGCCCAAUAUGGCUCCUACUGCAGUAUCAUUUACGUAGCACAUAAUUUUGAAUGGGAGGCUCCAAUUUGAAGGUUAGAUGAUGGGUAGAGAAGUCAAGAGCUCCUUUAGUCUGUCAAUCUAUUGUUUGCAAUCAUCAUUGAACUCGAAAGCCACUUCUUUUUGUAGAAGCCUGAACAAUGGUGCUCCAAUCUUUGAGAAAUUUUCAAUAAACUUGUAAUAGAAACCUGCAUGUCCCAGAAAAUAACGUACUUCCCGCACAUUUGCGAGGUAAGGUAAGGAAGAGACAAGAUCUAUCUUAACUUUAUCUACUUCAAUGCCUUUAUGUAAGACUACAUGAUCUAAAACUAUCCCAUACUCAAUCAUAAAAUGAUAUUUUUUCAAUUGAGUACUAAAGUUUCAAUAUAUCUUUUUAAAAUCAAAGUCAAAUUAUCAAGACAUUCAUCAAAACUGUCACCAUCGACAAUGAAGUAUCCAAAAAGACCUCUAUUAUUUUCUCUACAUACUUAGAAAAGAUACUUAUCAUACAUCUCUAAAAAGUCGCAGUGGCAUUGCACAAUCCAAACAGGAUCCUCCUAUAGGCAAAGAUACCAAAUGGGCACGUGAAGGUUUUUUUCUCUUGAUCUUCUGGGGCUAUUACGAUUUGAAAGUAACCUAAAAAAUCAUCUAAGAAACAAUGGUAAGCACAACAUGCUAAUCUUUCAAUCAUUUGAUCAAUGAAAGGGAGGGAUAAAUGGUCCCUUUUGGUUAAUGCAUUUAGUUUACAAUAGUCUAUGUAUUGGCGCCACCCAGUAGGCUUCCCAACUAGAACUAGGUCGCUUUCAUGAUUGGUUUGUUCCAUUACUCCAACCUUCCUUGGAACCACUUGCAUCGGACUCACCCAUUGGCUAUCAGAGAUAGCAAAGAUUAUCCCCACAUUCAAAAGUUUGAGUAUUUCUUUUUUGACCACUUCCAUCAUCAUAGGGUUCAAUCUUCUUUGUACUUGCCUCACAAGUUUUACAUCCUCUUCAAGUCUAAUCCAAUGCAUACACAAGGAGGGGUUUAUUCCUUUGAUAUCAGUAAUGGUCCACUCUAUCAUCUUUUUGUGGUCUCUAAGAACCUGAAUCAAUUUGUCCUUUUGACUGGAUGAUAACUUUGCUGAAAUGAUAAUUGGAAGAGUUUCCUUAUCACCCAGAUAGGCAUAUUUUAAAUGAUUCGGUAAGGGAUUUAGUUCCACAAUAGGCACCUGCAUAAUAAAAGGCAGUAAAUUCUAGUGAGGCUCAGGAAUAAAAAUAGGCACAAGUUCAAACCUUGUUGUGGAAGAUGAUGCUAGUGACUGCAAUGUUCCAACCACAUAUUUCAAUUCAUCGCUUGGCUCUACAUCAUAAGUUGUUUCCAACUCAAAAUAUUUAGUUAGACUUUUAACUUAUUUCUGGCAUCAAGUUUAAAAACUUUAUGCACCACAUAAUCAAUUACACUUACAGCAAAAAUAAAGUUAGUCUCAGAGGGGUAUUUCAUAGCAUCAAGAAUAUUAAAAUGAAUUAUUUCUCCAUCAAUUUUCAUUGUAAAAAUACCCUUACUAACAUCAAUUUUUGUUCGGGUUAUACUCAAAAAGGGUCUUCCUAAUAUAAUAGAUGAUGAAUUUUUGGAGUGUUCAUCACCCAUAUCAAGAACAUAGAAAUCAACAGAAAAUACUAAUUCAUUAACUUGGACUAACACAUCCUCAAUCAACCCAUCAACAUAUGCAUUAGUGCGAUCAAUCAAUUGGAUUAUAAUUCCUGUUUCUUUUAAUGGUCCUAGAUUUAAGGAGGCAUAAAUGGUUUUCGACAUCAUAUUAAUCGAGAUUUCUAAAUCUAACAUGGCAUUCCUGAUUUUAAUACUUCCUAUUUUACAAGAGAUAGUGAACAUAUCUGGAUCUCCAUACUUGGGUGAUAACUUUCUUUGCAAUACCGCUAAUACAUUCUCCCUUACCACAAUCCUUUCAUCCCUUCCUAAUUUCCUUCCAUUAAAGUACAAGUCUUUCAAGAAUUUCACAUAUUUAGACACUUGCUUGAUUAGGCUCAACAAAGGGAUAUUUAUCUCCACCUUGCAGAAUACCUUUAUGAUCUCCUUCUCCUUAUCUUGGUUUUUUGACUACUCUAACCUGCUAGGAAAAGAUGGUGGGUUAGUCUUAACGUUAACCACUGGAUUAGAAAUUACCUUAGGGUAUACAUUGCUUUUCCCUUCUUCUUCAAGUUCUUGUUCAAUCUGAUCCUCAACCUUAUCUUUUGGGUCCUUCUACUUUCUUGCCACUUCUUAGAGUCAUCUUAGAUUGAGAUGGCAAUUUUCCUCUUUCUUGAGAUUCCAAGCAACUAAUUGCAUUUGUCAUUUGACUCAUUUGAUUUUCCAGAUUUUGUAUGCUUGACCUCGUCUCCUAUUGAAAUUGCAAAGUAUUAGAAGCCAAUUGUUUAAAAUGUCUUUAAGAUAAGUACCUGAGAUAGAAGAAGAAGGUUGAGGCCUCGGUAGGUAUUGAGACUGAAACCCUUAUUGUCGAUUAGGGAAGAAAUUAUGUGGCUUACUCCCUCCAUAACUCAAGUUUGGUCCUUUUAGCCUGGAAUAUACAUGUUGGAGUUGGGCAUGUUACUAGCCAUAUUUAGCUGCUCUACAUUAUCAUCUUGUAGCAUUAGGCACCCAUCUGUGGGAUGAUUUGCAUCCCUAUAAAUUCCACAUGCCUUGACCUACUGCAUAUUUCCUACUGCCAUUUGUCGAACCAUAGAGGUUAGUUUGGAUAAUUUUUAUUGAAGUGAUUUAAUACUUACCUCAUUCACUCGUCUAGUAAGUAUAUCAUCCCACGUGCCAAAUUGCUGGGAGUUCUCUGCCGUCCCUUCAAUCAAUUCCUAUGCUUCUCAAGGAGUAUUAUUAACAAGUGCACCUCUACUUGCAGCAUUUAUUAUAUUCCUUUCUGCAUACAAAAGACCUUCAUAGAAAUACUGGAUUAAAAGAUGCUUACUUAUUUGGUGAUGGGGUCAAUUUGUACAUAAUUUCUUGAAUCUCUCCCAAUAUUUGUAGAGAGAUUCCUCAUGUUGUUGCUUGAUGUCACUUACCUUCUUUCUAAGAUUGGCAUCUCUGGAUGCAGGAAAAUACUUCUCUAAAAAAAUUUUCAACUCAGUCCAGGUUGUGAAACACCCUGCAGGCAAAUAAUGUUGCCAAUCUUUAGCAGCUCCCUUCAACAAAAAAGGAAAGGCUCGCAUCUUUAUCUAUUCUUCUGUAAUGCUUGGAGGUAUCAUACUCGAACAGACAAUUUGGAACUCCUGGAGGUGCUUGUGAGGCUCCUCACCUGACAAACCAUGAAAAAUAGGUGAGAGAUAGAUUAGACCUAAUUUUAAUUCAAAAGUAACAUUUUCAGCUAAAUCAGGGAAAGUAAUGCAGAGUGGCUAUUGAUUCAAGUCAAGAGCAGCCAACUCUCUCAAGGUCAUGUUAUUGGCCAUGAUAUCCUCUUCUUGCUUAGGAUCACUCGAGUAAUCACUUGAAAAAUCCACCAACUCAAUCAUCAAAUUAAGCCCUGGGGAAGUAGUAGACGACUGCUUUUCCUUGCAUUUUCUAGUCUCUUUCCUUACCUUACGCAUGGUCUUCUCAAGCUUGGGAUCAAAGAUUAAAUUCACCUAUACGAGAAGAACGAGACAUAAACUAGCAAAAAUAUCAAAAAAUAAAGUAAAAUAAACUCAAAAGGAAACAAAUAAAUCAAUACCAAUCCUCGGCAACGGUGCCAAAAAUUAACAAGUGUCGAGCCUGUACAACAAUAAGUUCCUAUUCAUGAAAAUAUAUAAUUGAAUAUAAUGGUAAGUAUAGUCAUCUUUAUAAGGAUUAGGAAAUUUUGUUUCCUUUCGAGCAAAAUCUAAUUGGCGGUUUUUCAGAGAAUUAGGAUCGUUCGAAUUUAGAAAAAGCAAAUAACUAAGGAAAGUAAAUUAAAAUUAAUUAAUAAUUAGUGAACUCUAGCCAAGAUAAAACUUCAGUAGUGGUUUACAGAACUGCUCAUCGAUGCAAUAAUAAUUCAUUUAUUCAUUAAUAAAUAGGUUAUAAUUGCCAACAAAGUCUGACAAUCAACUUUUCCUUACUGUGUCGAUAGUUAAGGUAUGACUGUUAGUUAUUUCCCUAAUUAGAAAAUAAUUCUAGGUACAACCAUAGGAUUCAAUUUCCUAUUUGCCUUUGAAAUUAGAAAAUCCCAUUCUAACCAAUAUACACACUAUGAGAAUUUAUUUAAAUUAGAUCGUAUAUCUCCUUGAGACAAAUCCAAUUAUACCAGUUAUCACAAAUUUAAGGCAAUCAAAUAGUUAUGUAUUCAACCAUCUUAAUUGGUAGUAGGUUGUAGGGUUAAUUCAAAUACCGAGUCCUUGAUAUUUAAACAACAGAAUAAUCAUGAGAAAUUAAAUAAAAAAUACGAAUAUCAAUGAAUAAAAGAAACUAAUAAAUUCAAUUUGAUCUCAUAGUUAUAAUUAAACCAAAUUUUCUGUUGUCCCUUGAUUAGAAAGAGGAAAUUAGUUGUUCCUCAUUGAGAAUAAUCUACACCAAAAAGACGAGAAAAGUUAUAAGAGUAGCUCCCUUCAGAGUUUUUCAAAAGUUGAUACCUUUUCUCCCUAGAAGAAGAGGAAUAAUAAUGACUCCACCUAUCUCACAUUUUUUCCUCUUUCCUUUGUUACCUAUCAGUAUCCUAAUUCUUUUAGGAAAAGGUAUUCUAAAAGUGAGAUAAGAUAAACUAAAGUAAUUUCCUAAUAUAAACGGAAGACUAAUCAUCUGCGAAAAAGGAUUUUGAUUCCAACAAUUUCAACUCGAACUUGGCAACAUCCAUGCAUGCGAGUCCCAAGCUUCCCGGACAGGAAGACUAGAUUUAAACAUGUCCACGUUGAACUGGUUAAGAGUCUUCUAUUGGAAAAUCUCUGCAUUUAACCCCUUUUCUGUGACGGCCCCACCUUCCCCUGGGGCGUACCCCAGGGUUCGGAUGGUCGCCUGCCCAACUCACGCCAGGACUCAAUACUUAGAAAAUAAAGUUCACGCCAAAAGUAAGUUCUAUGUACUCUAUUAUAGUUUCAAAGGUUGUAUAAACUAGUACAUUAAGUGAUACAUACCACGAGUAUCAGAAAGUAAACCUUAGAAAAGCUGAUAACUACAACCACCACGAUAACUAUAUACAUCUUACUAGUCAACUUAUAACAAGGAUAAAUUCAACUAUUCUCUAAUCAAAAGACCAAACACCUUCCCGAGCGAUCUCCACGUCGGUCCCCUGCUAAGGAAAACAAAUGGAAUGGGGUAAGCUAUAUGCUUAGUGAUUAAUCAGGGGUAUAAAUGUAAACUCACAUCCAAAUAACAAGUAAUCAGGUUAUUUCACAUCAAUAACAAAAAGAUAACAACACAAUGGUAGGAUACAGGUGGUUCCAAACCCAAUUCAAUUCCUCGAGCUUGAACGCCUGUUGACACUCCGUCAACCAAAGUACUCAUAGACCGUAGACUCCACUUAACUUUCUCCGUUCACCUUAUCAACCCCCGCUGGCCAGUCAACAGCACACAGCAGCUCGAGCGAAACAAAAUAACUUAGCUUUCGUCAAAGCUUUAACAAGGAACUAAAUCCCAAGUUUAGUAUGGAACUAUCUUCAACCAAGCCCCAACUGGCUCGAAUAGUUUGUCUAACCCUUGGAACCGGGUUGGAACCAAGCCCUGAGAUAUCGAUCUCUCAAUAGAUGGUAUCUCUCAACAAAGUACACAACAAAGUACUCACCCCAAACAGCACACAGCAAAUGGGGUUUAGUUCAAGUCAUGUAAUCACCCCCAUCAGCACACAGCAAAAGGGUGAUACUCAACUCAUGUAAUCACCCCCAUCAGCAUACAGCAAAAGGGUGAUACUCAACAUAAGGCAGGUAUUCUCACAUAUGAAAUCAAAACAAAGGAUGGGCUUAGGUCGAGUGAGAUAAAGUACACCCUCGCCUAACUACCCAUUUAACAUAUACCAAGCAAUUUAACAAUUUCACAUCAAUAAACAACCCAAUUACUCACUUGAUAAAGCUUGGCACGAAAAACGAUAUAAUUCACUGAGCUUGACCGUCAACGUCAAAAGCCUCACAAUCUAUAUUGACAGAUUAUAUAAACACAUAAAUGAAACGGCCACACAAUAGCAGUUUAUAAUUUAAACGAUUGAAUACGGUCGAAAACGAUCAAAAAUAAUAAAAAACGGUCAAAAUGACGUUAAAGCCAAAAGAAUGUCGAAAUUGGCCGAAACGGCCAGAAUGGUAACAAAAUACCAAAAGUAGACCUAAAUGGCCCAAAAAGGCAAAAACGGUUGAGAAAUGCACGUGCGCGUCCGUGAAAAUGAAAAUGGUACCAAACGGGUUACACGAUUUUGCCCAUAAAUGGAGCUGUGGUUAUCGGAUCAAAAUGUACUAGAUGGUGUCUCGAACCUUAGACAAAAGGUUAUAACUUCCAUGAAGAUACCUCGACCCAUUUUUCAGUGCAUCCAAGUUAAAUUUGCAAAAUACAGAACUAGAACUCCAAAGGCUAGUUUAUCUUUCUCGUGAAAAUUUGGCGGCAUGCCCCUUGCGUUUACCCAUUUUUCAGUCAUUUAUGGCUUCAAUAUUUUCCUCAAACAAACUCAAAGUUACAUACAAAAUAAUCUCAUUUUAAUAGCCGUUCAAUAGUCUCAAGGUCAUACAGGUACAAAAUCAAGCUAACGACAUGUGCGGAAAUGAAGUUUAACAAAAGACAGAUUUGACGUAUUUUUACGUAACGGACACAACCGAGGCUACGCGUAUCAGAUUGAGGUGCAACUUAUACCGUUUCGAAGCUAAGGCAGAGAGCUACAACUUUGGUGAAGACCACCUAGUCUAAUUUCCAGUGUAACCCAUUCAAAUUCCCAAUUCACAGAACCAAAUUCCAACUAAUCGGCUAAUUAACCGUACUGCCUUCAAAUAGCCAUAUCUCAAGCUACCAAAGUCCGUUUAAGACGUUCUUGGAGGCAUUGAAAAGCUAAGACAGAGUACUAAAACUUUUAUGUUUUGGAAAAUGGCUAAAUCAGCACGGAUCAUAGUGAAUAGACACGGUCAAUUGGAUGAACUAUCUAAAACGGAUCACUGGAUGCAUCCUAGGGCAGUGAGGGUAUUUUGGUCUUUUCACAGGCUAUGUUGCUUUGAUUGAGCUGAAAUUUUGUAAGAAACCAUAAAAUGUCAUUUUCUACAACUUUUAUGUUUUGUGCUUAGUCUAGUUCGGCCUCUAACAUGAUGAAAUAGAACCGGACAGAACUGAAGCUAAGAUUUCCAGAAAUCUGGAAUUUUUGUUAUUUCAAGCUAUAAUUCAUAUUUUCCCUUGAAACUACCACUACUACUACCUUUACAAGAUCAUAUACCACAUAUAUGCAUCAUACAACACCAACCCACAAGAAACCCUAACUCAAAAGUCAUCCAUCCAAUCAUCAAAACUCUUUGAAACAAGCAUCACAAGCACUAUACUAACAUUAAUACCCAACUUAAUCUUGAUUAAUGGAAAAGAAAUGGUUGAUCAGCCAUUAUACCUCAAGGCAAGACCUUGCUAGGAUGAUCCUUCACCUCUCCUUGAUAUUCUUGGUUCCUUAGGCUUCCCAAGCUUCCAACUAGUGAUUGAUCGGUUUAGUUUUUCUUGUUGGCAAUAAAAAGGUUGGAUUCAAGGUUGAAGAUGGAAAACUCUCUUCACUCUCUUGUUCCUCUUGCUCUCGGCUGACCAGGAAAAAAAAUGAGAAACAAUGAGCUCAAUUAAAGGAUAAGAAAGCAAGACAAAAGGUUGGGCAAGAAGCCAUAGAUGGGUGACACUUGUCACCACCAAAGCCAUCCAAGUUUCUCUUUCUUUUCCUUGCAUUUUAGGCCACAUGUUUCGGUUAUGAGGCUGAGGAUGAGGAGGUGGUAUUUUGCAAAAAUAUCAAGGGUAUGUGAUGGUAAGGAAGUGGUGAUCAAGUGGUGUGUUCAAUCGGUAGUGAUCGAUAUCCGUCGGUUCGAGCCGAUUUUCUUAAAUCGCGUAUACUAGGGUUUUUAACUUCUAAUCACUAACUUAUUAUUAUCACUUCUAAUCAUAUAAUAUUUCCUCAUCCAAAAGUCACUCUUACCUACCAAAUUUGAUUCUCACUCCGUACCGAAUAGUCACACUACAGAAAAACGUGAAAACCCUAAUUCGCUCUAACUUGGAAACGGACAACGAAAACCCUUACUUCUAUAUUCAUUUACACUUAUUGUGGGGUGAUUGGGUGGUAGGGCUAUUAUAAAAUCAUAAGCUCCAAAUAAAAGGGGAUUUUUAAGAAAAACGUGAGGGGUUUUACAAUUCCAUAAAUUGAAUUUAGGGUUUCGGUUAAAAUAUGAAAAAUUUAAAAAAAGGUCAGUCACAAGUAAAAACUAGGGUUUUGAUUAGACUUUAGGGUUUCUAGUCUUUAAAACAAAACAAUGUCUUAAAAUAAAAAUAAACUAAAGGAAGCGUAAUAUCCUCUUUGAGACUAAACAAAAGAUGAUCCUAAAAGUUGGGGUAUCACAUUUUCACUCUUUUUCAUUCCAAAUUCUUACAAUCAGCACCAACUGCCAAAUAUAAGUAGAAUCAAUCAAUUAAUGCAAUAUUUAGCCAAAAAUCAAGGAAAAUACUCACAAAUUUACUACUAAAAUACACCCUAUCACCUUAAAAGGUUAUAAUUAGUUCUUAACAUCAUUAGGACAUUACUUGGUAAGAAAUGACAAAUUUCAGUACGUGAAAAUAUUAGAAAAAAGUUGAGAUCUUAGGAACAGAACAUCACUUUCAUAAAUUCAAGAGUUUUUGUGGUCAACAUUUUGUGCCUUUUUAGGAGAGAAACAUUGAAGUUUAUUACUUCACUUGGCAAGAAAAUGAACAAAAGUUUCAGUAUGCAGAAAGAGAAGGAAAGUUGAAACUUAAGAACAUAACUUCACAAUCCAGAUUGAGUUUGGGUUUAGGCUGUUUCCACCUUGAUCUUUUCGGGCCUGUAGUUUAUGUUGUGAAAUUAGUGUUCAAAACAAAGGAAAGCGAUGUAGUUGAAGAAAGACAUGAUUGUGAAAAGUGCAAGGGCAAGGACAUGAUUGUGAAAAGUGAAAAUUGACCAGAUCAAGAACCAAUUAACAAGGGUUAAAGACUCUGUAGAUGGAAAAAAAAAAGCCAAGAACUGACCUUCUCAAAAGGCAACUGAAGCAAGCAUACAGGGAAGAAGAACUGCACUGGAGCAAAAAAUCUAGAAUAAAGUGGCUACAGGAAGGAAACAGAAACACAGUUUUUUCAUGCAUGUGUUAAUGGGAGAAGGAAAAGGAACCAAAUACAGCAAUUGCAGAAAUCUGAUGGUAGCUGGACCUCUAGUGAUGAGGAAAUAGGAGCUAAAAUAGUAGAGUACUACAAGCACUUGUUCACAUCUUCUUGCAGGGGAAAUGUUGAGAAUAUACUUGAGGGAAUUCCAAAUUCUAUAAUUGAUCAAAUGAACCAGUAACUAACCAAACCUGUGAUGGAAGAGGAGAUAAGAAUUGCAGUAUUCUCUAUGGAUCCCAACAAAGCCCCCGGUUUGGAUGGUAUGUCUCCUAUUUUCUUCCAAAAAUUCCGGCAUAUCAUUAAACUAGAAGUGGUAAAUGCAGUUCAAAGUUUUUUCCAAUCCAAAUUCAUGCUCAAAGCUCUAAACCACACUGUUAUUUCCCUAAUUCCUAAAGUUGAUUGCCCCACUGACUUGAUACACUAUAGACCUAUUAGUUUAUGCAAUUUGGUGUAUAAGGUCAUUUCAAAGAUUUUGGUGAAUAGACUAAAACCACUCCUUAAUACUUGUAUUAGCAAAAAUCAGGCUGCAUUUGUCCCUGGGAGACAGAUCCUAGAUAAUAUAAUUAUUUCUCAUGAAUAUUUGCAAUUCCUAAAAAAUAAAAGAUAUGGAAAAGAGGGCUUUAUGGCUGUGAAAUUGGACAUGGCUAACGCUUAUGAUAGGGUGGAGUGGCCUUUUUUACAAGCCAUGAUGAGAAAAAUGGGUUUAUGUGAUUUGUCAUGAAAUGUGUCAACACUGUUUCAUACUCUUGUAAUGUUAAUGGGGAAUUAAAGAAGUAUAUUUCACCAAGUAGGGGAAUUAGGCAAGGAGACCCUCUUUCACCAUAUUUAUUUCUCAUAUGUUUUGAGGCUUUUUCCAAUCUUUUAAAAAGGGCAGAUCAAGAAAGGACAAUCAAGGGAUUGAAAAUCAGCAGAAGGGGACCGACUCUUACACACUUGCUAUUUGCUGCUGAUUCUCUAGUGUUUUGCAAAGCAGGAACUACUGAAGCUAGGAAGCUAAUGGAGCUAUUGCACAGAUAUGAAUCAGCAUCUGGACAACUGGUUAACUUGGAGAAACCAAGUGCCUUCUUUAGCAAAAAUGUAGAUAAGAAGCAGAAAAGGCAAAUCUGCCAAAUUUUGGGGAAUAUUAAACCAGUGUCACAAGGGAAAUAUUUAGGACUUCCUAUGGUCAUUUCCAGAUCCAAAGAUCAGCUGUUUGGAUUCAUCAAGAAUAACAUUAGCAAGAGGAUGAUGAGCUGGAAGAGCAAGAUGUUGAGUUCAGCAGGAAAAGAGGUACUAUUGAAAGCAGUGUCAAUGGCAAUGCCAACGUAUACUAUGUCUUGCUUCAAACUGUCAAACAGGCUAUGGAAGGACAUUAGUGCACUAAUGGUAAAAUUCUGGUGGGGUGAGAUAGAUGGGAAAAGCAAAAUGCAGCUGGUCUCCUGGAAGAACAUGACAAAAGAAAAACUGGAAGGAGGAUUGGGAUUUAAAGACUUGCAGAGCUUUAACAGUGCCUUUACUAGCAAAGCAGCUGUGGAGAUUCAUCACCAAACCCAACCUCCUAGUGAGCAAAGUUCUAAAACCCAAAUAUUAUCCAGAAGGGUCCAUAAUAGAGUGCAAGGUAUCAAAAAAUGCUUCAUGGUUUUGGUAAAGUGUAACUGGAGUGAGAAAUGAGCUGGAUGAUGGAAUCAGAAGGAGAAUAGGAACCGGAAGAAACACCAGAAUCUAGGAAGAUAGAUGGAUUCCUAACUGCAAUCAAGGCCAACCAAUAACCAAAAAAUCACCAGGCUGCACUCUGUAAAAGGUGGUGGACUUGAUAACUGGGCAUAGGUGGAACAGGCCUCUGAUAUACAUGCUCUUUAAGGAGAAGGAAGCUGAAGAUAUCCUAAGUAUUCCAAUUAGUGUGGUUGACAAAGAGGAUAGUACCUUCUGGCCAGAUAAUAAAAAUGUUGCAGUCAGGUUAUAGGAGAAUAUGGAGGGAAAAACAGAACAAAACCAAAGGUGAACAGCAAGUAGACAGCACAAGCUAUACCAAUCCCAAGUCUCCUAUAUGGAAAGUACUGUGGAAAGUGCCAGUCAAGCACAAACUGAAAGUGUUUAUGUGGAAGUGCUUAAGUGAGGGACUACUAGUGAAUGAACUAAUAUGGAGAAGAACACAUAAGGGAGACCCCUACUGUAAAGGUUGUGGGGAAAGGAUGGUAACAGUGGAACAUAUAAUUUUUGAAUGUGACAGGGCUAAAGAGAUUUGGAAACUAGCGCCCAUUCAAUGGGACGGAAUCAUGGAAUCAACUGGCAACUUCAAAAAAUGGUGGUCAUCAGUUAUUGAAGCAAGACGAAGACAGUAGGGGAUGGAACACAUUGUACUCACAGUAACUAUACUUUGGCACAUUUGGAAAUCAAGGAAUGAAAGAAUGUUCGAGGCCAAAGUAAAGGAACCUAUGAGAAUCAUUACUAAGGCCAGUAAUGAAUGGCUAGAGUCUCAAAGUAUGGAUAAGCCAGUAAGUAUCAGAAGCACAGCAGAAAUAGAAAUACCACAGCAACAAAUCAGGGCAGAAAGGCAACACACACACUCAACACAAGAACAGGGAGAAGAGUAUUAAGAGUUGCAGUUUCAAGGCAAAAAGAGACAAGCACUGUUGGCUACAGUAUAGCUGCCAAAGAUGGAGGAGGAUGCUACAUAACAGGAUGGGGACUAAGAAAAAAGAUGACAGGAUGCAACAUUCAACAGGAAGCUGAAGCUAUACAUUAUGCAUUAGUUAAAGCCUUAGAACAGGAAUGGACUGCAAUUAUUGUUGAAACAACCAGUAAGGAGCUGUUGAAUCAACUGCAAAGGAAUGCAAAUAGGAACAGCUGGGUUGCUACGUUGCUGGAAGAUAUACAAGCACUGAGUAUCUUGUUUCGAAUGUGCUCUUUUCUUUUGGUAGGAAUAUAAAAUACGGAUCUAAGCUACAUAAUUAGUGCUCAAGCUUUGAGCAGAAAUCAAGAUGUGGAAUGGACUUAUCCAGUUCCAUUGUGCUAAGUUGCACAACUUGUAAAGUAUCCUUGAGCCUUUGCUUAGGUUGUACAUAUUUUUGAUAUAAGCAGUACAAAUUAUCGUUUCGAAAAAAAAAAAAAAAAAGCAAGGGCGAGGAAUUAUACCAAAAAAAAGGUGAGAAAUUAUUGUGAUAAUAUCUUGCAGGCUUGCCUCUUGAAACUGGAUAACAGUUAAGUGCAAACAGCACCACGCAGUACGAUUACUGUAUGAGUAAAAAAUUGUAAAUUACUAACUUUGUGGAUCUUUUGAAUUGCUUUGUUUAGCUUUCGUGUGCACUAGUUUACUACUAUUGAUUUGUUCUUUGGUCCGUUUUUUGAUGUUUGUGUCAAGCAUUCACAAUUCGUUACAAUACUGGAAGGAUGAACGUGGGCAAGGGUAGCUAUAUGCAGAUAUGUAUUCUCUUUAUACGUAGACUUGUAUGAUGGUACUAUUUUACCCAUCCAAAUAAGGGUAAAAUAGGUAACUCAAAAGAUGACAUAAAUUUUAAUACCAAACCCCCCAUCUUGGAUAGUUCCUUAUAUUAUUGGCCGAAAAAGAAAAAAUCGGUCACGUAUUGAUUUGAUGCGAUUGUUGAUUUUUUUUUUAAAAAACCAACAAUAUUUAUUAAUAUUAGUUUUAAAAAUUAAUGUUUUGUAAGUAUUUAACUACUCUACUAAUUUUUAAAAACUUCCCUACGUACUUUUGCUAUAAUGUAUGAAUAUUCAUCAAAUACUACAAUGCAUAUUGAAAAUUUGAUAGACAUUCUUUGCCGGUUGAAAUUUAUUAUAAUGACCAUAAAUCUAGAACUACAUAUUUGUAAUAAAUUAAAUACGGUACGAGGGAGGGAUGGGUUGGGUGGGUUCCUGGUUUGAGACCUCCUACUUAUAUUAAAAAAACUAAAUUAAAUACAGAAGAUACAACAAUUCAUUUCUCAUAAACAAAUAUUCAGUUUUCUAUGACAAAAAUAGUUUAGUGAUAUAAAAAUUAAAAUAACAUUAUAAAGUUAAUCCAUAUUUAUAAACCAAAUUACACAAAUUUAUUAACAAAGGUAAAUAAUAUUAGAAGAGGAGAAACCAUAUGAAAAAAUAAUUUAGAUUAAUUGAAAAGAUAAAAGCGAUUAGAAUAGAAAAGACCCAAUCUAUAAAUAAAAUAAUUAGGGAAGAGGUGGAUAAAUUCUACCCAAAAAAAAUUAGGAAGUAUAAGUGAGAUGUUUUGGAUUCGAACCCUCCCACUUAUACUAUAAAAAAAUAUUUUAAAGAAAAAAAUCUGAAUAUAACCGAACACCAGGUUCCAACUUCUGUUACUGUUCUUGUCAUAUUAUAAAAUUCUUAAUGACGAUGAUGAUGAGCAUGGCUGGGAUUAACCUAUUAAUCCUGGAACUGCUACGGCAGUAUCAUUUGUUUGAGAAAUGUUUGUUUUUGUACACUUGGAUGUUAAUCAAAUUUAUGGGAAUAUAUUUAGUGUAGUUUUCAUUUCUUGGAGGCAAUUCAUAUAAGAUUUAGUUCUCUAGAGUAUUAUUUUUAAAAGCAUUUGUUUUGAUAAAUUUGCAACUAUAUCACACAGAAAAGAUUAAAAAAUGGGGUUAACUGCAAGACUUGCAAAGCUAUGUGAAUGUACGUAGUUUGAUGUUACAAUAGAGUUCUUUGAAAAUUAACGUGUGUUUGAUCAACUAUAGCGGCGGAGCUAAAACCUUUGGCCAAUGAGGGCAAUAGUAUAGCUUAUAAAAUUAUUUUGCAAUGAGAUAUUUGAUCUAAAACUGUGUAUUUAUUUUCAGUUAUUUUUUAAAUUUUCUGAAUUUGUUACUUAUUCAAGUAGUAUUAAGUUUUUUUGUUUAAUUAGUUUACAAAUAAGUGUACCAUAAGGAAAGAUGUCUGAAGUUAUUGGUUAUUUGGAGGGACAAGGAUAGGGAUUUUUCAAAUAUAGGGGGGUAAUUUCAAGACAGGAGUGUAUUCCUCAGAAUUUUGGAAUGUGACAAAAACCUAAACUGUUAUAAAGUUUUUAUGACUAUUCUAUAAAUUUUACAAAAUUGGAGGUGCAAUUGGCCACCCUCCUUGUAAUGUAGCUCCGGCAUUCCUAUUUAGAAAAAAAAAAAAAUGUAACAAAAGUAGUUCGAAAGCCUGCUGCUGCUGUAGCAUACGAACUGCGAAAUUGUCAACACAAGUUGGUUCAACCGGUAAAAAUGAGUCACUUUUUCACAUGCUGAUGCGAGAGUUGUGUGGAUAGUAUUAUUUUGAUCCGUGGUGGUGACUGGUGUUGAACUCAUCCAAAUUUUUUUCCUAUAAAAACAAAACAGUUGAAAAUGAAAACAUAAUAUAAAUAAAGUAACAUAUGCUUUCACAAUGGGCAAAACGUGUUUUUCGUCAAAAGGAACGAAAAACCAGAAAUUACUUUGCAUUAUUUGUUCUAUUGGGUAAGUUCAAUAAUAUUUCUGGAGAAUUCUACAUGUCCCACUCAAGAAGUAGUUACUCAAAACUCGAAUAAAGUUUCAAUUUGGUUAGAUAAAACAGAAUAACAAGGAAAGAAAAUUGAAUGUGGAAAUGUGGGGAAUUAUGAUUAGGAUAUCUGAAAAUGUGUCACACAGCUUAUCUAUCCCAUCCGCAAAAGAUUAAAAUAUCUUUGAGUACCUGUCCAAUCUUUAUAUCCAACAUGUUUUAUGAUAGCAAGGAAUCUUCUGCACCACUUCCUAUUCCACUCACUAUCUCACUUUAUAUUAUAUUGUUAUUUAUUCUUCAUAAACAUUAUUUUUUUAUUUUUUUAUUUUUCUUACUGUCAAAUAAUUCUAACAUGGUAAAAAAUAAAUACAACAGUCUCAAAAAAGCAAUAUAAAAUAGAAAAUCACAAAGUACAAUAGAAAAUUCAUAAAAAAACUCAUUUAUCUAUAUAUUUGAUUUUUUGAGUUUGUUAAAUUUUGUGUAUAUAUGGAAAAUGUUAUUUACACUCUCCUUUUUGUUAUUUGCACUCCAACUAUUAUAUUUAUUUUAUAGUUUUUUUUAUAUUAAAUUAUAUGAUAUAACAAAUGGUGGAAGUGCAAAUAACAAAAUAUGGAGUGCAAAUAACAUUUCUCAAUAGUUAUUAGAACUUAAGAAAAUAAAAAAAAAUUAAAAUCUGAUAUUUAUAAAGGAAAAUAAUUAUAUAAUGAAAAAUGAGAUAGAGAGUAAAAUAGGGAGUUGGACAGAAAAUUCAUUGCAACGGCCUUCAUGGUGGUGAUUUAGCAAAUGAUACAGACUGCUUUCUCCUUCAACUUAUGUUUGUUAUAAAUGCAAUCAAUCUAAAGGGACUCAUUGCUUGUUGGAAAAGGGGAAACAUUAAUAUAUAUAUUUUUUAGGGUUAAGAUUGUAUACUAUAAUAUAAGUAGUUUUGAUGUUGGAAGGAGUAUGUUCUAGUGCCCCACUGCUAAAUUGAUUGACAAGGUCUUCACAUAAUCCAUGACAAAUGCCAGUUCUAGUUGCUACGACAUCCUUAUAAAAUAGACAACAUGCUUCCUUGGUCUGGAACACGGAUAGUGUAUUAUUUGAAAUAUUAUUUGGAAUAAUUACUGUAGCAUUUUUUGUGAUGUGAUGUAUGUGAGAUAAAAAGGUGAUUGGAAAUAUAAAAAGGUAGGUUGGACAAUGUAUUUGUGAUGCAAGCGAAAUAUUAUUUGGAAUAAUUUUGGUAUCCAAACAUCAAAAGCCAUCAAUUUUUGAAAUAAAAGUUUGAAAGCAUGAGUGAAAUUAAUUUCCAAUUUUUCGUUGUAUAAGAAUCCUGAUCUGUCAACUUCCGAUGUGGCCUUUAAUAGGGAGGGAUGGCAUGUAAGCAUUGAUUACACGUAGCAUCAGUUAAUUUUACCAUAUACUCUUGAUAAACUCUUAUUUUUCUUUUAUUUUUUAUAAUAAAAAGUUUGGAUGAUUUCGACAUUGGUCAUCAGACUCGCUCAUAUAGAUCCUCAAAAAUAUCGUGGUGACUCGUAUGAUCCUCAAAGGCAUCGGUAAUUUACAUUGUACUCUCAUAUUGCCCGCUUUAAACCAAUCAUUACAUCCAUAACAGAUUUGAAAAUAUGAUUUUUUUAGAGAACAAAGUACAUCCUUGCUAACUGCUAAGUAAGCCAACAUGAGUUGGCUACAAUACUGGUACUACCUUCACCACGAUUAUGUAAAAGAGAAGAUUUGUGAAGAUUUCUUGGGUUGGAGAGGUGCUUAUAAAUGUGUUUUAUGGUGAUAUUUGGCAACAUCUUUUAGAAUAGUCAUUUUUAGCUCAAAUUUACUAUUUGAUGGAUCUUAGAUUUCGGGCUUUAGAUUUCACUUCAAAAGUACUCCACCAAAAGUGUUAGAAGUUUCAAAAUCUAUUAUUGUUGUAAUACAAUAUAUGAUUUAUCUUUUACCAAGAUGAAUACAGAAUCAUCUUUGGACAUGUUGCAUGCAAUUCUGGUAGCACAACCAAUGCUGUGGAUUCCAUCCUUGCCAAUCUCACCAACCAAAAUUAUUUUUUCCCAUCUUUUUUGGGGCUAAAAGAAAAAGAAAAGGCUAGGCCUGUUGAAUUAGUUACCUUGCAAAUAUAAAGAAGGGUUAUUUGCAGAAACUGGCGACCUUUACUUUUUCCACAAAGUGUUCCAAAUAAAAACAGAAAUUAGAAGGCAAAGAAUGAGAGCAAAGAAUAAAGCAGACAGGUUCAGUCGCAUUCUGGAAACUAUCUUGUGUGAGACAGCAAGAAAAAGACGUUCGUAAUGCAAGACAAGCAAAAUCCGAGCGGAAACUAAAACCUUGUCCAUAACGUCCCUACGACAAAAUAUUGGACAACUCAAUCCCCCUUUCAGUAUCUGCCAUAAGGAAGAAGAGUGCAGGAGAAAUGAAAUGAAACAAGCAAGUUACACUGAAAGGUUAGGGCUAAGCGGAUUAUAGCCACCCAAAUUAUCUCCAAAGCAUCACUUAAUUGGUCCAAUAUUGAAACUUUUGAAAACAGGAAAGACUUUAACAACAUAUAAUAUCAUAACUAAAGAAUUUGGCGACAACUAGAGCAUUAAACUCUUGCUCUAGCUUACUGACUCAAAAGAAUAUGGUAGCAUGGAUGCGUCAUUUCUGAUAAAGAUUCACAGAAGUCGGCCCAUGUGAAGUGAUCAUAGAAUGUUACAGUGGCCGUAAUAAUCAUCACUAACCACGUACCAAACCUCACAUCUCUGACAUGUUUUCGGCAGAGAAGGACAUGCGUCUUUCUUGUCAUCCUUUUUGUCAUCCUUCUUCUCUUCCUUGGGAGGACCAACGCUUGUUAUUUGUGCAGUUCUACUGAACUUCCUGACUUGUUUGAUAAUGCAUACUGGAUCAGCCUCCCCAAUAACUGUUACUGUACUUUUGGACGGGUCAAGGACAAUAGAAGUUAUUCCUUCUAGCUUUGAUAUUAAACUCAUGACCUUCAUUCUGCAUUUUGAACAGAGUAGAUCCACUGACACCACUGUUUUCUGCCAUGAAAUCAAGAGAAACAGUUACUUGGUUACUUUUUUCUGAACUCUAGAAGUAAACAAUCUGUGCCACAUCAGAGGAGCAGAAAAAGGCCCUGCAGGGUGUCAGGUUGAGAAGAAACUAGCAUUCAAGUACUGAUGAACAUUUUGUAUAUUCAGGACUGACAUAUACUGCAUUAAGCAACAAAAAAUGUAAAAUUGAAAAAUGAAACUUCAAAGCCAAUACGAAAACCUUUGCGAUCAAUGGCAUGGUACCAAGCAGAAAGAGUAGGGAAAACUAAAAUGUUUUUCUGAACUCUGAAGUUAAUUUACAGAUGCAAGUUAUAUAUAUUAUAUCUCUACCCUGAAAUCAUUAAGUUAUUUUGUAUAUAUUAUGUCCUUGUUCUAAUUGUUCGUCUCUUAUUUGUUUAAUUUUUUCAUACAGGUCUGGUACAUAUUAGUAAAUGUACUGACAGUGUUAGGUGGUGAAUGAGAGUAAAUGCAAGUCAGCAGAUUUCCAGAGGGUUACCUGUUAACUUUACUCCACAUUUAAUGAGUCUGUGUGUGCGUGCGUGUUGCACCACUAUCCCUAAGAUGGCAUCAUGAAAUUAAACAAACAAUUGGAUUGUAAUUUUCUUAGAAAAAUUUUUUACGUUAUCUGUUAAUACAUUUUGUAAUUACCUUUUAACCUUACAGACAUCAAUCGUAAAUAAUAUAUUUUUCUAGAAAAACUCCUUAAAAUAGCAAUCGAAACAGGUGCUUAGAUCUCUUAACAUGCAAUCAUUUGCGGGGUCUAUUUCCUUAUCUUCCACUGGCGUGUAAAGGGCCUGUUGCAUGCAUAAAUGUCACAAAGUAGGCUGCAGCAUGCAGAAACUUUUCACAAAGUAAACUCCCUCAAGAGUUAAAAACUCAACUUCAGCAAACACUAGAGAUUGUUCUGAAUUACCAUCAAAUGAUUACUCCAGUGAUCAAACGGAUUUCUUACGAGUGCUAUACAUUAAAUAUGACAAAAAUCACUAACACAAUAUAUUGUAGAACGAUAAUUUUAAGUGGCAAAUAUCAUAUCUUGCGGAGAACAGAAGCACUUUACAAACAUCAGACUUCUGGUAAAUCAUCCAAUGCUUGUCUUGUAGUCAGAACCAUUACUUCCAAGUAGAAGAAUUCAUUGAAAACACACAGAGGCACAAAUAUAUAUGCUAGAGAGAGAGAGAGAAAAAGAGAGACCUUUAAAUUGAGUAAUUUGAGCUACCAAACAGCCUGUCCACUUCUUGACAAGGGAGCAGGCAUUCAUCUUCAUUUACAAAGCCGAUUCAUGAACAUCCUGGAAAACCAAGUGUUUAUUCUGCACUAAUAUGGAAGCCAACUAUGACUUUGUUAUCUUGCACAGCACAACAAGCAAAAUUCUGUAAUUUACUCCAAAAUCUACUUAGACUUACAAAGAGAAAAUUAGUUACAUGGUCAAAUUAAUCUAAACUGAUCCUGUUUUCUUGCCUAAGUUACUGCCAUAGAUUCAGUCGAAAGUCAGAAAGUUCAACGGGUACAGUUCAACUUGCUGGAGUGACGAAAUUUGAAUAAUCAGAAACAGGAGUUGAAGGGGUAUACAAACGUGUAUUAACUGCAUAUGGUUCAGCAAAAGGGACCUGGACAUCUAAUCUCAGCCCUGCAUACAGAACUGGUGACUACUAUAAUAAAAGUUGAAGAUGAACUUGUUUUGAAAGCUGAAAGUAUCAUCUCUAAUGCCAGUGAACUGUCAUUGGAAGCCACUUCAUUACUCAUGCACUCUCAAUCCCUUGCAAACAAUUAUCCAAGUAUAGUCCCAUUUACAUGUCCAAUGUGUUAUGAUGAACGAAAAACAAUAAUCAGCAGUUGAAUUUCCAGUUUUCAUUCAUGUUUGUGGUCUAGACAACUACUAGCAUGUCAACCGCCAUGAGUUUCACUAAAAAUUCAAUUUGCUAUCACUAGAAAUAAAUAUCGAGAUAUGUGGGGUUCAAAAGCUUCCAAUCAUGGAGUUCGGGAUAUUUUACGACAAUAAAUUACAACAGCAAAUGGUUACACUUUAUAAGGCUACCCUUCAAACUUGAAGGGUAAAAACAAUUAUACAGGAGCAAGAUAUGUGAGUAUAUCCACGGAUUUGCAGCUUGUCAAGAAAAGAUAAAUCAGCCUUCUUGACUUUCAGCAUCUUACAUAAUUGUGUACCUCGUGAGUAAUUCAGUCUCCAGCUAUGUUGAGUAAUUAGCUCAUGUGCUCUUGGUAGGCAAGGCAACAAAGUAGCUGAUAUAUCACUUUCCCGGUGGGGGUGGAAAUUUCUGACAUGUCUCUUUCAACAUAUGUUCUUCAACAACUCUCCUAUCUCUGAAAAAACUGGAAAAACCAACUAAUUAAGCCAUUUAUGACCAACAAUAUCAUUUACAUAUUAACAUCACCAGAAUCCAACCCAGGGCAAAAUGCAGUCACUAAAACGCAUUCAAAGAACUAUUUGACUCCUCAACAAGUUUGUUCAAAUGGCAUUAGGUGGCAGCAUUUUAGUUGGGGUACUUUCCUACCUCAGUACAGGACAAAACUGAGACCAAAACAACGGUGCCUAAGAUGCAAAUGCAUUGUGAACUGAGAUUUACGAAAGCCGUAGGCAUUUUGAUUCACCAUAUGAUGAUUCAUGAUGCAGCAACUGAAUCACAACCUUAUCCAUAAACUAUAGCUCAAAUCAAACUGCCUUCAAACCAAAUCACUAUAGCUCAAACCUUAUCCAUAAAUUCUUCAUAGAGAUCAACAACAUAGCAGCCAACAAAACAACAAAUGGCAACGUGAUACCUUAAAUGAGCCG
rnacentral:lncRNA from 1 species